GUAGUUUUUAUUUCAUAUGCUUGGGCCUAUAUUAUAUGGUCAGACUGUAUUAUAUUUGGAUCUUCUUACAGGUAAGCUGAAUUUUAUAAAAUUUGAAUCAUCAAGAAGGUAACGUUUUCCAUAGGACAAACAUGAGUUACUAUAAUUUAGACAUUAUCAAUCCUUUGUUUUUUUCGGAUAAUUUUUUUAUAAAUUCUUCUUAUAUCACAUAUUAUAUUUUUUACAUUUCCCUCCCUCUCUACCUCCCUAUAAAUAGCUUGCCAAUUCCAUCGUUCCCUCAUACCAAGUUCAAUAAUCAAUAAUCAUCAUCCAAUAAUAAGAUGAAGAUUAUUCACAUAGUUUUUCUUUUCUCUUUUCUUUCAUUCACUACUUCCCAAGCUUCUGUCAAUGAUUUUUGUGUAGCAGAUUUAAAGGCUCCAGAUACCCCUUCAGGCUAUCACUGCAAACCCCUAGCAAAUAUCACAUCAGACGAUUUUGUCUUUCAUGGCUUCAAAGCUGGAAACACCAACAACUCUUUCAACGCUGCACUUACCUCCGCAUUCGUCACUGAUUUUCCAGGCCUUAAUGGACUAGGAAUCUCAGCAGCGCGGUUAGACAUAGCGGAAAAUGGUUCAAUUCCAAUGCAUACUCAUCCUGGUGCUACCGAAUUAUUGAUAAUAGUUCAAGGUGAAAUAACCGCUGGAUUUCUGACACCUACCGCAGUUUAUUCUAAGACGUUGAAACCGGGUGAUCUUAUGGUUUUUCCACAAGGGAUGUUGCAUUUUCAAAUUAACACUGGUAAGGGAAAAGCAACUGCUUUUCUUACUUUUAGUAGUGCUAACCCUGGUGCUCAAUUACUUGAUCUUCUUUUGUUUUCGAAUAAUUUACCUUCUCAAUUGGUGGCACAAACUACUUUCCUUGAUCUUGCACAAGUGCAGAAGCUAAAGGCACGUUUUGGUGGAAGAGGGUAGGGAUAUGAUAUUGUUUGGUCAUGAUCAUAACCCACUCUCCUUGUGUAAAUGUUUAUUCCAAUAAUCACCUAGUGGUGGAUUUGAUUGUGUGUCUGUGUUAUUUUAUUUUAUUCUAUGUUUUAGCUAUUCCAAAUGUUAUGAUAUAUGGUUACUUGUGAUAAUGAAGUAAUAAAUUGUGUGUGAUACAUUUCUUGGUUCCUCUUUCUAUCUCUCAACCUGUCUCCUAAUUUUUUUGUUGAAUUAUGGCAACAUUUAAAAUUGAAUUGAAGAUUGAAUGAGCACGACCUGGAGAUUAUGAUUUAAUUAGCUCAAUCACUUGAAUCACAAUUGAACUAAAUGAUUAAUCUAUAAAUAAAAAAAGUAAUUGCAAAAACAAAUCUUAUUAAAUUAUUACGAUUCAAUCGGUUCAACCUUAUUCAAAAUGACUUCGAUGCGACUAUGAUUUCUAACCCAUUUUAUUUUAGAUUUAACUAGUUGAACUAAUAAUUUAAUAGAAUAUGCAACUUAGACUUAUUUACCAUUUUUGGGUGUUAGAAGUUAGAAAAUUUUACAUGAUGUGGAUAACAUCACAAUACAAUUCAAAGUAGUGGGCUAUAAUUUAUGAGAAAUGAUAUUUGAACAAUAAUUUUUAACAACUUUUGUGACAACUUUAUCUCUCAUACUCACAUUAAUUUUUUACUCUCUCUCUAUUGCUUUGGUUUUUGUGUCACUAUCUCAUUUCUUUUGCAAAAUUUUGAUUGUCACAAAAGUUGUCACAUGUAUGGAUGUUCAUAUAACACAACUCAUAAUUUAUUCAUUAAAACCUUACUUAUAUAUCAACAAGCAAAACUAGGCGUAAGACGAUUGAGUCAGCCUCUACUUGGUAGUUGGUUCUAAUCUCAUUGCCAUUGCUUCGGUGCAUCAACCUCGAGAGUGUGGAAACGGUAAAUUGGUUUGCGAGUACUGAUUCGCGGUAUUUUAAUGAAUUUGUUUGCGCAAAAUCGUGAGCAAUUCAUAGCAAAGUGCGUACGUGACAGAAGUAUAAAACAAAUCAAACAAGUUUAAUUCAAAUUUCACAUAUUGUAUGUCAAACACAAUAAAUAUCUGACCAACUUGAUAGAAGAGCUCAUCUGCCAUGAACAUGCAGCAACCAUUAGUGCAAACUGUAAAAUUAGGUCAUAGAAAAUUCAAGGCUAAAAUAUGGUUUUAGUCCCUGCAAAUAUGUCUCGUUUUGGUUUUAGUCUCUGUAAAAAGAAAAUUUUGUUUUUGGUCCCUGCUAAAUAAUUUGUUUUUGAAAAUAGUCCCUAGCCCCACUUUUGUGAUGAUUUGCAUACGUGUUACAUUAUAACUGAACCAAUUUUGUAGUUUUUGGUCCCUGCAAAAUAUUUUGUUUUUAAAAAAGGUCCUUGAAUUUUUUUUUUGUUUUUGAAAUUUUUUGCAGGGACCAAAAACAAAAAAUUUUGUUUACAGGGACUAAAACCAAAACGAGGCAUAUUUGCAGGGGCUAAAACCAUAUUUUAGCCAAAAUUCAAAUGCAUAGUAGUGUGUACCACUACCAACCUGGAUGUUGUGCAGGGGCAGCUAAGAAGCUUAUAGUAAAAUGGUCAUAUAGAGAUUAAGGUUCUUGUAUAUGCAAAAACAAUGAUUAUAAAGAGUCAUAUAUUAUAUAUAGGCUUAAAUAAGUAAAAGGUCUCUGUAAGUUGGCGCAUUUUUGGUUUUAGUCCCUGUAAGUUUUUUUGUUGCGAGACAAACCCUGUAUUUACCAAACGUUUUGGAUCUAGUCCCUGCCGUCCAAUUCCGUGAAAAAAUGAUGACCUUGCUAACGGAGCAAUACGUGGCACUUCGUGAGUUGGCACUAGUUGAUGACUGGGGUUAAUAUAGGGACUAAAACCAAAAAUGCAAUUUAACAUAGGGACUAAUUUAAAAAAACGUAAUCAUCAAUUUUUAAAUUUUAAAAACCAGUCUUUCCUUCUUCUUCCUCUCUCUGUUCUUUCCUUCUUCUUCCUCUAUUUGUUAGUUCUUUAAUUGCUUGUGCCCAAAAACUCAAACCUCAUUUCCUUCAACGAUGUCUUCUCAUUCCAUUUCUCAUUCAUCAUCAAAUGAGUUGCCUAUAAGUGCCAAUUACUUCUUUAAGUUCUGCUUCAUUUGUUCCUCCUUGAGUCUCCAAAAGCAAAUCAGUGAUAAUUACUUCCAUUUGUUUCCCCUCGCGCACCUUAAUCUUAGCCCAUCCAACCAAGUUUGUGUCACCAAAAUCCUCCUUAUCACCAGGCCUUUUCCCAUUAAGAAGUUCCAUCAUUACAACACCAAAUGAAUAAACAUCACCCUUUGCAGUGCACCUGAAACUUUGGUAAUACUUUGGUGGAACAUAUCCAGGUGUUCCUGCUAGUGUGCUUACACUGAGAUGUGUAUCAAGUGCACUUAUUAGUCUUGCCAUUCCGAAAUCCAAGACUCUUGACUCCAUUUCAUUGUCAAGUAAUACAUUGCUUGACUUCAUGUCUUUGUGUAUGAUGUGAGGGAUGCAAUUAUGAUGCAGAAAACAAAGUCCUUUAGCAGCACCUCUUGCAAUCUUCUUCCUUUCUUCCCAUGUUAAAAUUCGUCGAUCACAUGUCUUUAUUCUUCUGUGGAGCAUCUCUUCUAGGCUUCCAUAUUCCAUGUAUUCAUAAACAAGUAGCCUCUCUUCUCCUACUUUGCAGUAUCCCAAUAAAGGGACAAGGUUUUUAUACUUGAUUUUUUCUAAGGUUUCCAUCUUAGCCAUGAAUUCUCUAUCACCUUGGCAACUCAGUCGAAUGAGCUUCUUUAUCGCGACACAUGUUCCGUCUUUGAGUGUGGCCUUAAACACUUCACCAAAACCACCACAACCAAUGAGGCUUGCUGCUGAGAAGCCAUUGGUUGCUUCAAUCAACUGUGAGAAUUUAAGCUUUCUCAAUUACCUCUGAAAUGUUGCAAUAUUAAUGCAUAAUGGCUCUUUCUCUUUAUCAAUUUUCCAUGUUGUAGCAGCAUGACAUGCGAAUUGGAGAUGAACAUCCUCAUAAUUUUUCUACAACCACAUAUUGACAACUCAUUUGAUGAUGAUUGACAAAUGGAAUGAGAAUACAUUGUUCCAUGAAAUGAGUUUUUGGUGUUAGGGCGCAAAGCUAUCGAAGGGUGGGAAUGGCAGAAAUGAAGAAGAGAGAAAUAACAUAGUGAGGAAGAAGGUGGAAAUAAUAAGUUUUAAAAUUCAAAUUUUGAUGAUUAUGUUUUUUAUUUUCAUCCCUAUGUAAAUUUGCAUUUUUGGUUUUAGUCUCUCUAAUAACCAAUUGCCAACUCAUCAUAUGCCACAUAUUAGUCCGUUAGCCAGCGAAGCGUUUUUUUGACGGAAACGGACGGCGGGGACGAAUGUCAAAAUGUUAAGUAAAUACAGGGGUUGUUUCGCAACAAAAAAAGAUACAGGAACUAAAACAAAAAAUGCGCGAACUUACAGGGACCUUUUUCUUAUUUAAGCCUUAUAUAUAUAUUGUUCAUCUUCAAAAUGUCACGACGACAACGUAAAUUAAUGCGGCACUGCAAAAAUAAUAUCACUAAACACAAACUGAAACAAAUUUCUAGGGAGAUAUUCCUGAUGGCAGUUGCAUCGUUCAAGACAGAAGUAAUUGUUCUUUAACUUAUUUUCUAAAUACGCAUACAAUUGUAAAACACAGUCAAAUUUUAUUGAGUGAAAUUAUGGUUGGAACGUGAUGGAGAUUUCCAUUCCUCCAAUUCUCUUCGUACACCUCUCUUGUUGUACCCAAUUUCUUCGAAGGCCUUUAGGGAUGGUGCUGUUCGUUCAACGGUGUUACUGCCAAUACAAAAGAUUAACAGUGUUCAAUAAAAUCCUAUAUGUUAGGAAACAAAGUGCUGAAGAAGAAAAAUAAGCACAAUCACAAUAUAAGAAUAUAAUGUUAGGAAACAUGGUAUCCAUGAAAAGAAGGAGAGAAAACUAAGAAACUCUUUCUAUUGAUGAAAAUGGAAUAUUACAAAAUGAGAAAAGUACCCUCUAAUGGGGUGGUUACAAGUUAUUUAUACUACUCUCUACUAGGACUAAUAUGCUACUAAUCUAUAUCUCUAAUAGUCCCCCUCAAGUUGGAAGGUGUUCAAAACACUUCCAACUUGAAAUGAGAAAAUACAAGGAAAGAUGCCAGAAAUACAUUGGCCAAGAACAUAGCAACAAUCAAAGGCUUAUCCAACAAGAGGAAACCACAACUCAAGGUGUAAUCACCUUGGAGGAAGAAGCAGCAAACCAACGCUUAACCACCAUCCGGUAGAAGCCAAUCAUCAACAAAGCCUUAAAAGGCACAAUGCUUAACCAUCAAGAGUUCUCAAUAACUCAAGACAGAAGCACAAGAAGAAGAAGAAAAUGACGCUUAACCAUCCUUGGACAGAAGCACAACGACGCUUAACCAUUCAUGACAGAAGCUUAUCAACAUAGCUUAACCAUCAUGAACAGAAGCACAAGACAAGAAGAGUAAGGAUAUCUAAAAUCAAUGAUGAUCUCCAAAAGAAAAAGUGCAAGGAAGGGCCAAAGUUUACAAUGGAAGGAGGUCAUAUGUUGAACAAACUGCACAUCAAAGGUACCAUGAAGCAACAAGACCAAGGUUCCAAAGUUAAAAAAGAGAUGCGCUCCAAUGCCGAGCCGAGACAAGAAAAACCAAAUGCAAGCCAAUAGAGAUGCAUAGCCAUGUGAGGUGUCUUCAAACCAUAGAAAACAAAUCCAUGUUGAUGCAUUCAAACCAUAGGCCAACAAAUCAAUACUUCCAACAAUGAAGCUUAAGAAAAUACCAACAUAGCCAAAACCAGAAAAAAAAAAAUGCAGCAGUAAUGCUGCACAAAAUAAAACCAAAAUGCAGCUAAGAGACAUCAAAAUGAACUCAAGAAGAUGCUUUAACGGUCUGCCCAAAAAUUCAUCAACGAUCCAGGAACAAUCCCAUGCUUCAGAUAUCAAACCAAGGCUUCCAAAAACGAUCCUAAGCCAUCAAGAAAUAAAUCCAUAGCCAAUGAACAAAAUGCAGUAGCAAUAUGAAGCACUGUACUGUGUUGGAAUAGCAUGCAACACUAACAAAAUGCCUAAUCAGCCUCACAAUUUCAUUUGUUCCUUUCACACACAAGAAUAUAGAGAAACCAUCUGAACAGCUUGGAGUGUACUAAAGGCUUCUUCAAUUACUAUUCAAAAAAUGCUUGACCAUAUCAGAUCCAACACCAUGAUAAGCAAUCAAAUGCCAAACAAAACUUAGCCCACCAGUAUGCAAUAUCUAUAAGACUACCAAGUGUGAUAGCAACACCAUAAAAGAAACAAAGAAGUAUGCCAAAACCAAUGAUAUCCAAAGAGAAUGUAGAACAAACAACCAAGCUGUAAUUGGAUCCCAAAGAAUGCAUCAAAAAAACUAUACGUGAAAGGAAGAUCCUUACAUAACACUGCAACAACAUAGCCAUACACAUAAGUCUGGGUCCGCCAAUCUUCAAUCAUAAUAUAAGAGUACCUUAACAUGAACUGCUCCAAAAAUGUAGUAGUGAUGAAGAGGUUCACAAGAAAAUGCACGCAUAGACCAAUAACGUCAUGCAGCAGUCAACAACAGCACCUCAAAGCAAGUCCAAUGCAAUGUUGGAUCAGAACAAAUUGCAGUGUUACCAACAACCAUCACCAUCAAACUGAACGUAAUAUGCAAUAAGGACCAAAAAACACCAAAAUAUCAAGGUAAUAGAAUCCAACUCUAUCUGCACCACAUGCACAAUUGUAUACAACCAGAGAAAAUGAACUAAUUGCAGCCUUGUCUAAAUAGCAGAACAUAGAACUUCAUCAAAAGAAUCAUGAACCAAGAAUCAAUAUGUUUGCAGUGAGGACUUGCUACAAACAUCUUGUGAGCACAAUAGUCAUAAACUGCAGUUACAAUAAAACUCGCUUAUGAGAAACCGAAUUCUCAAUACAAUACAAUAAUGAAACAGGGAAGAAGAUGAAAUAUCAACGACACAUAGAAUCAAUGCGAAAAAGACGACUCUGAGCCGAAUCGAAAAUUUUAAUGAAGAGGAAUCGCAAAAAAAAAUAAAAUUGAAUCACGGAUUCGAAUCGAAACUGGAAAUUGCGAUCGAGUAAGAAUUCGAUCAAGACUUUUGAAUCACGUGGGAAAUUGAACCAAAACUAACAGAACAAAGAAGAACGAACAAAGAAAAUUGAUCGAGAGAGAAAAGGAAAUCGCCAUUGUAACUGAAUCGCAAACCCUAAGAUUUGGGAAAAAGACACAAACGGAAUCACGAAGCAAUCGAUCGAACAAAAAGAUGUAAAAGAAUCGAAUGAAAUUGAGAUGCAGAUCAAAAGAGAAAUCGAUCGAACAAAUCAAUAACAGAAAAACGAUUCGAGUACAAGACAAAGGAAAAUGAAGAAAAUGAAGUGAUAAAAGAGAAAAAUCAGAACGAAGAAGAAAAGGAAAACAACACGAGAAAAAUGAACUUUUCUCGAGAAAAUGCAGCGGAAAAAUUGUUCAAGGUGGAUACCAAUCAUGCUCUGAUACCAUGUUAGGAAACAUGGUAUCCAUGGAAAGAAGGAGAGAAAACUAAGAAACUCUUUCUAUUGAUGAAAAUGGAAUAUUACAAAAUGAGAAAAGUACCCUCUAAUGGGGUGGUUACAAGUUAUUUAUACUACUCUCUACUAGGACUAAUAUGCUAAUAAUCUAUAUCUCUAAUAUAUAACGUGGAAACUUUAAAACUGGAUAAAAAACCACGACCGUUGUCUAAACCGACAACCAGAAAAUGAUUACUAUGGGAUUUUUUUUACAACACAUAGACUUCUCUCACUCUCACCCCAAUGCUCCAGUACAAUCAUACUCUCACAAAGCAAAUAUUUAAACUAAGUCAGAUAUAAGCUUAAAGUGCUACUGACUGGUGCAUCUACAAACAAAGAACCUAGGUCCAAUAUAUAGUCAUGGUCCUCCCAUUGCUUCACCACACUAAGCGAUGUAGGACUUUUCCAAUAGCAAAUAUUUUUUAACCUCCUUAUUUAUUUAAGAAACUUGACAAUCAAACCCAACAAUCUCCACCUUGAUUGUACGAGUUUCAUCUUUCGCUUCCAUUGUUUAUACUGACAAUCAUACUCCACCAUAAAGAGUAUACUUCACUUGAAACUAGACCUUUCCAAGAAUUUCUCCACGUCAAAACCUUGCUGAAAGAUUACGGUGCAACUCCCAUGUUGGAUUUCAGGAAGUUCUUCAGCCAUCGACACAUCUCACCACACACCUUGCAUUAAUUAAUUUCUUAAACAAUUUAUAAUUAAUUUGUAUCUCGUUUAAAGACUACAAAAUUUCAUUGUGAAGGUUCUUAUCAUGUUCUAGUCAUGCCUACAAAAUUAGGGAACUAAAUUUGACUUGUGAGUAUACGCUUACGCGGAACAAAAUUUCAAUUUUGCAUGUUUUGAUUGAAAAAUCAAAAUAAAUUUAAACGACUUCGAAAUGCAAUGAAACUUUACAGAUCCGUUUUAUGUAUUUUUUUAUAGAUGUCUAUGCAAAUAAUGAGCUCAAAAUUCGAUUUAUAGGUCGAGAUUUCCAUUGUUUUGUUUUUUGAGCUUUUGACACUUUAAAAAUUCAUAAUUAAUUUGUCGUAUGUCGAAAAUUUAUAUAUUUUUAGUGUAAAGCCAUAUUUUAACAUUCUUAACUCGCCUCUAACAAAUCAUGAAAAAAAUUGAAUCUCUCGGUUUCUUUUUUGGACUUCGCAUAUAUUACAGAGUUAUAAAUAAUAAAAAUCUUGAGUUACAUGGUAAGAAUACAUGUUAUUUAAUUACAGGGCCAAUUUUCAGACUUCACGUAUAUUAUAUGAUCAAUUUCAAUUAAUAAUCUUAUUUUAAAUUGUACUUUUGUUGACUAAAUGAUAAAACCUAUUUUAUUUCGAUUUUUUUAAUUAAAAUUAAAAUUAAAAAAAAAGUUUCAAUUUAUGAUUGUUGAUAUAUUAUGUCGCAUGUGAAUUUGCGAUAAAUUUUUUGCCCAAUCUCCAUAAAUUUCCAGACUCCGCCACUGUAUAGUACCUACUCAAAGAAUACUUGUUAUCAUCCCUAAUUGUGCGCUAACACUCCUCAAUUCAAAAUGACAUAAUAGCAUGCUUGUUGAGGAAAAAUUAUUGCCUUUAUUAUAACAAAAUUAGUUAAUUUUUUUUUUGAGGAAAACUGAAUUAGUUAGUGAAAAUUAAGUAAAAGACUAUGAAGAUAAUUUAAAUUUAUACAAAUCGUCACUUGACCAAUCUUAUUGCAAUAAAUUAAUAAAACGUCAUUUCAAAAAGAUUUGUGGCUGAUCCUUAAAAAAUAAAAUCAUUCCGUGACAAUUUUUUUUAUUCUUUUUCAAAUCUUUACUCUAAAUCUUCAUCUGUCACACACAACUAACUCAAACAUCCAUAGACGUGCAAUCAAUCUCAAUGAAAGAUUAGACUACAGGGUCUUUUAUUAAUACUCUUUGUGUACACAAAUUGAAUUCACUUAAAUGUUGUUUAAAAUUCUAAUUUUAGAGUUUACAUGAAAUGAAAGAACAUAUGUUGACUCACUUAUUGUAACCUUACAUGAAAUAAGACAACAUAUAUGUAUGCAUUGUUUUAAAAACAUUGAAGAUAAACUGAAUUUACGUAGGGUAUAUAAACUGAGUUUGCAAAUUAUACAACUCUACGUAAAUUAAGAUAGAGAAUGGAGAGAGAAAAAGGAAGAUAGAGAAUAAGAAGAUAAUGUGAGUAUGAGAGAGAAAGUUGUUAAAAUGUUUUUUUAAAGAAAAAAGUUGUUAAAAUGUUGUCACAAAGUGGAUGUACAAAUAUCAUUUCUCUAUAUAAAAUAUACAAAAUAUAUGGAGGAUUAUUGAUAAAAAAAAACAUGGGGAUUAAUUAUUGCUAAGAAUAAAUUAUUUUGAAAUACUCCCCUAUUUUUUUUUUUAAAUUCUCUUGACCAAAUUUUUCUUUUUUUAAAAUUCAUUGAAAUAAACCAAAAACAAAUACUCCAUUUCUAACAAAAAUAUAGACAUAAAGAGGAUCAAAGCGUCAAAUAGUCUUGCCCUCAAUUUUUUUUACUUUUAGAACAUCUUUUGUUUAUGUUUUCGUUACAAAGAGUAUGCAAAAUUAGACUGACUUAUUUUAAUUCAUUUAUAUAUAAUAUAUGGUAGUAUUUGUGAUAAUGUUUGUUAGAACCUAUGAAAAUAAUUUAUAACAUCUAAGUUUAGUUCCAUAAUUUUACAGAAUAGUUUAUAGAAACAACUUAAAAAUAUAUUAAAUAUAAAUGUUUUUUUUUUGUUUUAAAAAAGUAUAUAGAAAUAUUUAUAUUGAUAAGCUUAUAAUAUAUAUAUAUUAUGAAGUAAAAACAUCCUUUGUAUAUUAUAAACGAUUAAUUAUUUUGUUUAUUCAAAUAUGACCUCCUAUAUUAUUUUUUUUUUUGUUGGAAAGACGUCUAAAAACUAAUCAUUUUUGGUGGUGGUCGGGGUUCAACCCAGUAUAUAUUAUGCAUUGUUCCUACCCACUGAGCUAAGCUCAUGAUGACCCAAAAACCAAUCAUUGAUACACGAUAUAUAUAUAUAUAUAUAUAUAUAUAUAUAUAUAUAUUGACAAAAAUAAAUGAUAUGCAUUCAUUCAAAUUGAUAGAGUUCAUCGAUACAAUACUAAUUCGAUAAAAAGAAAAAGAAUGAAUUUGCGAACAAACUCAUAACAUCCAUGUUAAUAUCAUAAAACAACAAAGUACAAAAACAUACUUAUAUGACUAUAUUCAAGUAUCCGGAAUACCCAUGUCUCUAGAUCUGCAACGUGGACGACGCAAAGUCAUAGAUUGAAUCUGCACUGGUCGAAGCGGAUAUGACAAUCUAAACCGAACAAAUACCUGCAUGAAACAAAUAAGACAAACAAUGUUGCACAAAGACGACGAACAAACCAAUGUCGCACUAUGACGGCGAAAUCACAAAAUAAAAAACAAAAUAGAUGUGAAAAUCACUUAUUUCAAUUAAAAGAAAAUAAAAAAGCGAGUUAGAUGGGUGAUUUAGGGUUAAAAACUGACUCUAAAACACCUCUACUUGAUAGAUGAGGGAGAAGAAACUAGAGUUUUGGUGACGGCUCACAAGAAAGAAAAAGAAAAGAGAAAUUUAUAUAACGAUAUAGGUAUCUCUAAGUAAAUUUGUUAAAAAAAAAAAGUGUCACUAAGUAAAACAUAGAUAAAAUAAAGAGAACCAAUAUGGAAAUAUAUAAAAAAAUGCAAACAAAUAGAAGACUAUAGAUAUGUUAAAUAAAUUUUUAGUUAUAAUUUAUUAAAUAAAAAUUUUAUUAAUUUAAUUUGUCAAAAAUAAAACCUUAUUAAUUUAAAUUGACUAAAAAAUGAGUGAUAAUGUGUCAACAAAAUUCACUAGAAUCCCUAGUCGUCACCCAUUUCUUCUUCUUGUCUAUUGAAGAUGAAUGAUUUAGGGUCAAUUCUAACCUAAAAUCACCCAUCCGAAUUGUUUUUCUUUCUUUUCUAGUUGAAUAAGUGAUUUCCAUAUAUUUUUUUAUUGUUCUUUCGUUUGUUUUUGUGAUUUCAUCGUCUUUGCAUGACUCUGUUUAUUUUGAUUUUCCAUCUUAAUGUCGUGUUUAUUUGAUUGAGGUUGAAAUAUUAGCUUUGAUUAGGUGCAAAUCCGAAGACAUGAGUAUUCCAGAGAUUUGAAUAUAGUCAGGUUUGUAGGCAUAAAUACUUUGCAGUUUUAUGUUAACAUGAAUGUUGUGAUUUAUCCUUUUUGUUUUUAGAGACUUUAAAUUUAUAUUAUAUCGAUAUACUCUAUAAAUUAAAAUGAAUGAAUAUCGUUUAUUUUUUUUAAAAAAAGUCAGCAGAAUUAAAAUACUAUGAUUUGCUAAUUUGCUCAUUCACCUAUAUUGUUUAGUUGGUUUAUAUUAGUAAGUUGGAAUAUAUUAUUAUCCAUGAGAUCAUAUGGUUUACGUACUGAUUUAUCUUAUAUUAUUUUUUUUGAAAUAAUUUACAUUAUAUUACUAAAAAAAUGGAAUCGUAUUGGUGGCAUAUGAACUGGGACCGUCAUUGCUGUAUUAUCAUUGCUAUAUGUAGUUUUUAUUUCAUAUGCUUGGGCCUAUAUUAUAUGGUCAGACUGUAUUAUAUUUGGAUCUUCUUACAGGUAAGCUGACUUUUAUAAAAUUUGAAUCAUUAAGAAGGUAACGUUUUCCAUAGGACAAACAUGAGUUACUAUAAUUAGACAUUAUCAUUCCUUUGUUUUUUUCGGAUAAUUUUUUAUAAAUUCUUCUUAUUUCACAUAUAAUAUUUUUUACAUUUCCCUCCCUCUCUACCUCCCUAUAAAUAGCUUGCCAAUUCCAUCGUUUCCUCAUACCAAGUUCAAUAAUCAAAAAUCAUCAUCCAAUAAUAAGAUGAAGAUUAUUCACAUAGUUUUUCUUUUCUUUUUUCUUUCAUUCACUACUUCCCAAGCUUCUGUCAAUGAUUUUUGUGUAGCAGAUUUAAAGGCUCCAGAUACCCCUUCAGGCUAUCAGUGCAAACCCCUAGCAAAUAUCACAUCAGACGAUUUUGUCUUUCAUGGCUUCGUAGCCGGAAACACCAACAACUCUUUCAACGCUGCACUUACCUCCGCAUUCGUCACUGAAUUUCCAGGCCUUAACGGACUAGGAAUCUCAGCAGCGCGGUUAGACAUAGCCGAAAAUGGUUCAAUUCCAAUGCAUACUCAUCCCGGUGCUACCGAAUUAUUGAUAAUAGUUCAAGGUGAAAUAACCGCUGGAUUUCUGACACCUACCUCAGUUUAUUCUAAGACGUUGAAACCGGGUGAUCUUAUGGUUUUUCCACAGGGGAUGUUGCAUUUUCAAAUUAACACUGGUAAGGGAAAAGCUACUGCUUUUCUUACAUUUAGUAGUGCUAACCCUGGUGCUCAAUUACUUGAUCUUCUUUUGUUUUCGAAUAAUUUACCUUCUGAAUUGGUGGCACAAACUACUUUCCUUGAUCUUGCACAAGUGCAGAAGCUAAAGGCACGUUUUGGUGGAAGAGGGUAGGGAUAUGAUAUUGUUUGGUCAUGAUCAUAACCCACUCUCCUUGUGUAAAUGUUUAUUCCAAUAAUCACCUAGUGGUGGAUUUGAUUGUGUGUGUGUGUUAUUUUAUUUUAUUCUAUGUUUUAGCUAUUCCAAAUGUUAUGAUAUAUGGUUACUUGUGAUAAUGAAGUAAUAAAUUGUGUGUGAUACAUUUCUUGGUUCCUCUUUCUAUCUCUCAACCUGUCUCCUAAUUUUUUGUUGAAUUAUGGCAACAUUUAAAAUUGAAUUGAAGAUUGAAUGAGCACGACCUGGAGAUUAUGAUUUAAUUAGGUCAAUCACUUGAAUCACAAUUGAACUAAAUGAUUAAUCUAUAAAUAAAAAAAGUAAUUGCAAAAACAAAUCUUAUUAAAUUAUUACGAUUCAAUUGGUUCAACCUUAUUCAAAAUGACUUCGAUGCGACUAUGAUUUCUAACCCAUUUUAUUUUAGAUUUAACUAGUUGAACUAAUAAUUCAAUAGACUAUGCAACUUAGACUUAUUUACCAUUUUUGGGUGUUAGAAGUUAGAAAAUUUUACAUGAUGUGGAUAACAUCAGAAUACAAUUCAAAGUAGUGGGCUAUAAUUUAUUCAUUAAAACCUUACUUAUAUAUCAACAAGAAAAAUUAUUCGUAAGACGAUUGAGUCAGCCUCUACUUGGUAGUUGGUUCUAAUCUCAUUGCCAUUGCUUCGGUGCAUCAACCUUAAGAGUGUGGAAACCAUAAAUUGGUUUGCGAGUGCGCAAAAUCGUGGAAUUGCUAAAGUACUAAGAUGAUCAAUAUUAAUACAUUCGAGUUUUUUCUAGAGUUCUUUGGCUGAUGACAGAUUCUGCACAUUCGCAAGAACAUUCUUUGCCAAACAUAGACGAAUCGCACUUGUAACUCUCAAAUCUAGUCCCUCCCACUUAUCGGCCUCCAUGUUGGAAGUGUUUCCUUUCAGCGCCUUGUGUAAUUCUGAUUGUUUCAACACAUACUUGACUUGUGCUUUCCACAAGUCAAAGUUGAUUAUUCCAUCAAACUUCUCUAUGUCAAAUUUGAUUGCGCAUGAAUAAAACACAUCAGCUGCACAGUACCACCCUUCUUUAGCACCUUCACAAUAUCACUUUUUUUUUUUUUAUGUGAAGAUCAGACAAUGCUGCAACCACAUAACAUACUAAGACUUAUGAUAUCUCACCAACCAGAAGCUCUUGAUACAACUGUUAAGAAAUAACAGAGCUGAAGAAGAAAAAUAAGCAUAAUCAUAACACAAGAAUAUAACGUGGAAACUUCAAAAUUGGAGAAAAAAUCAUGAUCGUUGUCUAAACCGACAACCAAAGAAUUAUUACUAUGUAAUUUUUUUUACAACACAUAGACUUCUCUCAUUCUCACCCCAAUGCCCCACUACAGCAUCACUCUCACAAAACAAAUAUUUAAACUAAGUCAGAUAUAAGUUUAAAGUGGUACUAAUUGGUGCGUCUAAAAACAAAGAAAUCUAGGUCCAAUACAUGAUCUUGUCUUUCCCAUGCUUCACCAUACUAAGUGACGUAGGACUUCUCCAAUAGCUAACAAUUGAACCCAACACUAUAAACUUGACAAUCAGAUUCAAAUGAGAAGAGAGAGAAAAUAAGGGUCAAAAGAUUGAACCAAUUGCAGCAAAAAAUCCAUUUUAUAUAGUUGUGUCCAAACAAACUAAAUUACUUUUUUUUUUUUUGAUAAAAAAAAAAUAAUUUUUAUCACGGUAAACAAACGUAAAAUAAAUUCUGAUUUUUUCUUUAUAAAAUCUCUAAAAAAUAAUUUUUAAAUUAUUCAAUGUAAAAAUCACUUUUAUCUUAAUCUAUAACAAGAGACUCUUAUUAGUUUAAAAUACGAAUAUAGAAAAAAAAAUACAUUAAAUUGUGAAUUAUUGUAGAAACCCCAUGUAUCAACACGUCAACUAGCUAACGGAUGUCUAUAUAUGUCUGUAUAUGCCUAGUUUGAACUUCAUUUAUAGGUUUUAAUAAAAUAUUAUUUUUGUUCUCAAUUAUUGUACUGUUUUAAAAUUUACUUUUCACUAAAAAAAAAAAUAGUAAAAGACUACUAUUAGACCAUUUUUUAGAGGUUCAUACUAGGUAUAAGUUACAAGUUAGUUGUGUGUUACGAGUUUUUGUGUUGUAAACAUAAGUUACAAAGUUCAAAUAUCAUAUUCUUCAAUUAUUUUUUUAAUUUUUAGUUUUGGUAAUAGUGGACCUUUUUUUUCUUCAAGCAAUUCAAGGUUUAAUUAGAAUUUCAAUAUUCAGAUGAAUAAGUGAGAAAUCUAAGUCUAAAGACCCACUUUUGAUAUAUAAUACAAUGUCUUUACCGACUGAGCUAGACUGAGGAGAAUAAUUUCAUUUAUAAUUCUUUUUCAUCUUCUCCAUAAUACUUUUUUUCUUCCAUAUUGGUCUUUUAAUCUCAAAUAAAAUAAAGUCUUGUGUCAAUCGACAUUCUAUUCUCAUCUCAACUCUAAACCUUCCAAAAUUAAGUUAACAAGAAAUUUAGUUUUUCAAUUUUGUAUAAGUUAAAAUUUCCCCCUUUUAUUAUAUUUCAUAUAAAUAAACAAUUUAAGAAUUUAAUGUUUAAUUUUAUAUAAAUAAAGAACACAUAAUUUGGUAAGUCAUUUCUCAUUUUUGUAAGUAUUUCCAUAUAAUUUUUGCAUGAUCUGAUCAUGUCAUGCACUGUAAUCAAACACCACCGUUUACAUGGAGUAUAAUUUAGAUAAGUUACGUGUUAAAUAAUGACGAGAGAUCAGCAGAGAAUACUGAAUAGCAUGACCGUCAAUUAUUGAUAUCUAUGCAUGCAUGAGUGUUUGUGUCAUGACUCAUCAUCUUCCUUUCUUUACCUUUAUGAAGGAGAGUCACCUUUAGCCCACCAGGUUGUGUAGGGUGAUCUUGUCUCCUGAUUCUCAUGGUUGAUUGUGAUCUUGUUGAUAAUUUAUUAGGGGACUAAUUAUCAAUAUUAAUGCUUAUAUAAACUAAUGUUAAAAGCUUGGUAUCCCACUUAGGUUGACCUAGUGGUAUUGGUUUGGGAUCUGGGAGUGUGCUCCUCUUUAAAGUCUCUUAAAAAAAAUGUUACAAGCUUGUUUUGAUAUCUGAUCGUGCGAUUUUGGCUCUUAUUUUUUGAGCCAUUUUGACACAUAAAAUUUUUUACUCUUUGUUUUUCAACGUUAAAAACUAUCAUUUUUACCGGCAAUUUAUCCUUUAUCCUUUAUCUUUCUAUAUUUUGUUUUUUUACUGGCCUUUCAUUAGGUUAAUAGUUUUUGAAACAUCCAUGAUUCAUAUUUAACAUUAUUUGAAGAAGUUAAGAAACUCGUGAGGCAUAGUUGCUUUCUUUCUUUAACUUGAUUGCUUUUUAAAAAAGAAAAUUUUGUUGAAAACUAUUAGUCAAACUAUCACACCACUUCCUAUAUCUUACACCAUUCGGUCACUAUUAAUAGAUUAUAUAUAUCAUUUAUUGAAUGAACCUAAAAAAUAUAUUUUUAUUUAUAAUAUUAUAAUAGUGACUGGAAUGUGUAAUAGAUAUUUUAUAUUGUCUCAUUUAUUUUCUUUCAUUCUUUCUUCCAAUCCUUGCAAGAACAGCUCUAUAUAUAUAUAUAGCUAGCCAAUACCAACGUUCCAUCAUACCACAUCUAUCUAAUCAUUAACAAUCAUCAUCCAAUAAUAAGAUGAAGAUUACUCCUAUACUUUUCCUUUUCACUCUCCUCUCAUCCACCACUUCCUAUGCUUCUGUUCAUGAUUUUUGUGUAGGAGAUAUAAAAGCUCCAGAAACACCUACAGGCUAUCACUGCAUGCCUCUUGCAAACAUCACAUCGGACGAUUUCGUCUUUCACGGCUUUGUAGCCGGAAACACUAACAACUCUUUCAACGCUGCACUUACCUCGGCGUUUGUCACCGAUUUUCCAGCUCUUAACGAUCUUGGAAUCUCCGCGGCGCGGUUAGACAUAGCAAAAGGCGGAUCUAUUCCAAUGCAUACUCAUCCUGGCGCUACCGAAUUAUUGAUUAUGGUUCAUGGUGAAAUAACUGCUGGGUUUCUAACAACUACUGCAGUUUAUUCAAAAACGUUGAAACCGGGUGAUCUUAUGGUUUUUCCCCAAGGGAUGUUGCAUUUUCAAGUUAAUUCUGGUAAGGGAAAAGCUACUGCUUUUCUUACUUUUAGUAGUGCAAAUCCUGGUGCUCAAUUACUUGAUCUUCUUUUGUUUUCCAAUAAUUUACCUUCUGAGUUAGUGGCACAAACUACUUUUCUUGAUCUUGCUCAAGUGAAGAAGCUAAAGGCUCGGUUUGGUGGAAGAGGUUAGGUAUAUUAGGAUAUUAUUGCUUAUGAUCAUACUCAACUCUUUCUUGUAUUGUUUGUUCCAAUAAUUCAUCACCUUUAAGUGAUGCAUUUGUUUGUAUGUGUACGUGUGUGUUUUAUUUUAUUGAUUUCUAUGUUAUACCUAUCUCAAAUGUCAAGAUAUGCGGUUGGAUGAUUUAGCGAGCAAGCUACUUAUAUUAAUGAAACAAUAAAUUGUGUCACACAUUUCUUGGUUCAUGUCUCUCUUUUUUGACUUCUAUCCUUUUAGCUAUGGGCAAUGACUAUAGAUGACGAUAUUAAUGUUUGUAAAAUUGAAUCAAUUAGUUCAAUCGGUUCAAUUAUAAGACCAUCUUUAAUGAUACACUCUUAAUCUUUUAAGAUCCGGUGCCUAUCAGGUAUCCUAUUGAAGAGAAUUUUUUCGAGGUCUUACAAGACCUGAGGUCUCGCUUAAGACCCUCAUUCUUAAGUGGGAUCCACACAUUUUAAAUAUUAAAUUUUUUGGGUUAAUUAAGUUUUUAGUCCCUAUAAAUAUUCACAGUUUUGUUUUUAGUCCCUACAAAAUAAAAUCACACUUUUUAGUCCCUGUGACAUUUUCCUUAAGCAUUUUAGGGAUUAAAAAUGUUGAUGGAAAUUUUUUAUAGGGACUAAAAAUGCUGACGGAAAAUUUUAUAGGGACUAAAAACAAAAUUGCAGAUAUUUAUAGGGACCAAAAACUUAAUUAACCAAAAAAUUAAUAUAUAAUGAUAUAAAGUUAUCGAUAGUUGAUUAGUAAGUCUCAUUUAAGAAAUUUCUAUGAGAUGCUGGGUUGGAGGGAUUAAGUUCUUAUUAGAUACUACUAUGAAACAAUUAUAAAUAAGUGAUAUCUAUACAUGAGACUCAUUUAAGUAUAAAAAAACGGAUGUCUCUAUUGUGGAUGCUUUAAUUGAACUAAAGAACUAAUAGAAAUUGUGAAAUACUACAUAAAUAUACAAAAUUAUGAAAUCUGAUUGAAUUAGUCGAAAUGCAAUUACUAUCCUCUAAUCAUUGUUAUGAAUAAAUUUGCAAAUUUUCAUUUUUUAAGUUCAUUAAUGAAUUGAUGUAUCUAAACUAUAGUCCAACAACACGAGUUAAUGAAUGAACUUGAAAGAGUGAUUGGAGGGAGUACAAUCCCUCCAAUUGAAUAGGUUCAACUUGAUUCACAACAAAUUUGAUUAGAGUAUGAUUCAAACAAGAUCAUAGCAGGGCGAUUCUCUAUUUAGUUAGUUUAACCAACUUAUUUAGUCAAAAAAUUUAAACACACAGGGAUAACUGUAGUUGUUUAUGUUAUUAUAUUUGCAAUAAUGUGAUAUUCGAAAUAUUAUUUUAUUCCAAAGUAGGCCCAUGACGCGUAUUUGAUGUGAAAUAAAGCAAAAAGAUAUUGAAUUAAAGCUGAUUUUGCCCCUUUCAUUUCAUUCAUAUAAAAAAAGAAAAAGAGAGUUGGUUUUGAACCUCCCUAAAAAAGGAAAUGGUUUAAAUUUGUUCUAACAAAUGUGCUCUUUGAAUUAAAGCUGAAGAUAACGUUUGGACGAAAAAGUUAAAGUGGCAUGCAUGCAGGGGCGUUGUGUGUGUGGGGUGGUGGGCGAAACAUUACUCCCUUCGUCAAUCAAAUACAUUAAUUUUUAUUGACCAUUUUUUGUUUACGUUUUGGGAUGGAGGGAGUAUUUAUGAAGUCUUUAAAAGAAACAAACUUAAUAGAUAACUAAAAGAAUAUUUGAUACUGGCUUGUGAGGUGAUAAUUGCUCCCAUUUAUAAAUAUAUUGUCAGACCAUCUCCUAUUCGAUACGAGACUUUUAACACAACCCCUCUCAAUCAGCACUGUUAAACUUGGUUCCUGGACAUAAAUGGUGGGUGGUUUGAUAGCGAAAACCUGAUAGCAGGUGGCCAAAUGAAUCUUAAUAAGGCUACUGUUGAUAUUGACUUCAAAUUUGUGGUCUGGAAGAACAGAGAAAUAGUGACACGAUUUUGGCAUCGUGACACGAUUUCAAGGGAGCCAUGAGCUAGUUUGCAGGACGCCAAAUCGUGACACGAUCUUGGAAAAUCGUGACACGAUUCAGAAACUUGCUCGUUAAGUAUCCCUGAUAAGGACUUGUCUACCUUGGAUCAGAUGCAAAUCGUGACACGAUCUUGGGAAAUCGUGGCACGAUUUCUUCAGAGGAAGACUAGUAUAUAUUGUGUUCUUGUGCUUUUUUGAAAGAGAGCUUGGAAGAGCUUAGAGAGAGAACUUGGAUAGCAAAGGAGGGAACCAAUGGGUUGAGUGUCUUUGUUGAGAGUGUCUCUUGGGUUGGGAAAAACAUUGUAAUCACCUUGGGUUUUAGGGUUCAUAUUGUGAGAGUGGGGAAACACCAAAGGGUAGAAUAUAGGGUUUGUUCAUGUGUAAAGCUUGAAGGCUAGAGUUCUUGUAACCUUUUGUAACACUUUCUCAUAUUGGAUUGGAGAGCUGCUCUCUCCCCCAGAUUAGGCCAUAUUGGCUGAACUGGGUCAACAAUCUUCUCGGUGUUUUGUUCUUCCUUUUAUCACUUAUCUUGUUUAUGGUUUGUUAUCUCUUUGUGUGGUUUUGCUAUACACUAGUCUAGGGCUGCUUUGUUGUUGUUUGUUUGGAGACCAUUUGUUCUCAUUGAUUACCACUAUCUCUUGCUCCACACAUCAAUGUUUAUUUCAUUGGUGUGAGUUUGGAACCGGAUUCACAACAGCUACAAUACCAUCUUAAAAAUCGAGGUUGGAUCUAACACAACCUCACAAAAAUUUAAAUUUAAAAUCAUCCAUUUCUCUACACUCACUAGACUAUUUGUCAAAAAAAUAAAAAGAAAGAAAAAUAUAUGUAGAUAGCUUUACCUAUAUUAGUUAAAUAUUUUUAACCUACACUACUUUCAAAUUGCAUCAUGACAUAAAAAACCCGUAUUGUGUUAUUUUCAGUCUCUUUCUUCCUUGAUUUUUUAUUAUUUCAAAUGAUAUAUAAAAUUUAUUUAAUAUCCAAGAUAUGGGAGUGACAUCGUGAAGAUUUGGAAGUUCAAAUGAAGGAUAUAUAUAUACAUGGGACUUCACCAUUGAUUUUUUCUUAAAAAUAUCGACCUAGAUGUCAAGGAAACAAAACCACGAAUCAAUUUGAUCCUUAUUAAUUCAAAUGGACAGAACUUAACAUGUUUCUUGGAUUACUUGAUUCAACAAGCAUAUUCUCAUUCUACACGAUUAAUAGAUAUAGGAAAAUUCUAUGGUGAAGUCAUGCAAAUGAUUUUCUGGUGACGUUAAAUGGUGAAUCAUUGAUCAUUUGUGCGUUUAAUUCAUGUCACGUCAGAUUAUAUGGCGUAUUAGACAUUUUCCCAUAAGAUGUAUUAUUAUAUCUUUACUUAUUGCAAUUGUAUUCCUGAUUAAAUCAAAAUUAGACAUAGAUUUUCAUUUGUGCACUAAGAUUGAAAUUCCUCUUAAUAUUUUGUAUGAGGAUUGAUUUGUAAUAAGAUAAAGUUUAGUUUUAGAGUGGUUCACAAACAGGACACUAGUUGAUAUGACAUCGACAGUUAUACUAUUGCCUAAACAAAAUAAUUUUUUCAAAAAAGUUAAUUUUCUAACUGCACCGUAGAAGUUCCCUAUUUCCGAUUUCAUCUAGCUUCAAAAGUUAUUAAUAGAUCUUCUAUUGCUUCAAAAGAUAAGUUUUAUUUAUUUAUGAAAUGGAACAGUGGCAUAUGGUGAUGAACAUAUGAUUGGAAUGUGAAGUUCGAAUGAAAGAGUUUCUUUUUUUUUUAUUUUUUUUUUAUAUACCGUCAAAUGAAGGAUAUAUUUGUGUAUGACUUUAUAUGGGAAAAUAGGGUUAUCAAACCCACGUAUUUACCAACCAAACUGAAUGUUUGUAAUUGUUUUAGUAUUUGAGGCAAAAGAGUUCUGAAAUGAAGCGACAAAGAUAGAAUUCAAAUCUCACCACAAUAACAAAUUGACUAUAUAUAUAUAUAUAUAUAUAGGCUUAGAUAUUUUGCUGUUAAUGCUAUUAACAUGGAUGAUGUGAUUUUGUUCCACAUUCAUUCUUUUUUGUUAUUGGUAAAUUUGAAUUUGUAAUGCAUCGAUGUACUCUAUCAAUUUUAAUGAAUGAACAUCGUUUAUUUUUUAGUAGAAAAGAAACUCCUUAUAGCAUCCGUUCACUCGUUCCCUUUUCAACAAAUCUUGCCAAGAUUUCUAAUAAAAUUAAUGAAAGAUAAUUUUUUAUCACACCUUACUUGUUUCUUGCACGUUCUCUUAUCGGAAUUUAGAUUUUACAUCAUGAAAGUGUAAAACGCGUUUUAAUAAACCCUCUAUUUUUUAGAUUUUGUAAUCCAAAAGUAAGGCGCGUGAGAAGGUCGGAAGAUGCAUGAAAAAAUAGGUUCUCUUAAUUUGGAUUUUUUUGUAGGACUUCCACUUGUUAAAAAGUAAUUAUAACAAGAAUAAUCAAGCAGAGUAGCAGACAAAACCACCACAUCAACUUUCAAUUUAUUUUUAACCAUAAACAUAAACAACAUAAUGCAAACUUCUUGCUUAUUAUGAUUUUCUAGUCAAUGAUAUGGUAACAUUAACGGAAUUCAUUCUCUCCUUGGAUAUUUGAUCAAUCAAUAAUUCCUUAUAACGGCUAAAAACUUCUUCAAUGAUAGCUUCACCAAAGUGACUAACUAGCAAAGGUUCAACCACAGCUCUAAUGCACCCUGCAACAUCAUAUUCAUUAUCAUAAUCACUUUCAUCAUUAGAAGUAUUUGAUUCUGUUUCAAACAACUCAAUGUGAUUGAUGACAAACGAUCCUUCAUUGACAACUUCCAAUUCCACUUCAUUCGGAGACGGAUAAUAGUGCGGGAUGUUAAAAGUAUUCACUUGAUCUUCCCUUAUAAUCCCCUGUAGCAUACAAUAUUAAGGACAAACACAAAUAAUUUUCCUAUAUAACUCAUUUUUCAUAUAGGAAAAUGAUGUCUAUACCUGCAACACCAUAUCAUUAAGAGCAGUAGCCAAAAAAUCCCAAUCGUCGCAACAAUAUUCCACGUCACAUGGAUCUUCAUUUCUUCUUCCAACCAUCGUUAGAACAAUGCGACCCCCUUCAACCAAUUCCUUUGCGCGACACUUGAGAAAAAUCGACAAGUCUCUUUGAAAUUGCUCGUAGUAAGCCUUGACGACAUUUGAGGGACUUGUGUCGCUGAUGUAAAUGUUACCCUUAUUGUUAUCUAUACCUUCGGGAACCUAAUUAACCAAACAAAUAAAAAUCAAUUAGACAUAGGUUCAUAUAUGUAUAUCAUAUGUUUGCAUCUAUAGAUUCAAUCGUGUGCUUGCAUGUAUGUAUAUCACUGCACUACAACAUAAUUGACAUUUAAUAACACUUGAAAAUUGUUACUGAAUCAUGAAAAUGUUACUAAUUAAAUUGUUUACUAGCUAGUCUAUACGCGAUGAUAUGAGUAUUUAGAUAUACAAACUAAUUAUUUUUAAUUAAAUAAAAACUUACUCCCUCUGAAAUGAAUCAAACAAGGGCACCUGAUGAGUUAAUUUUUGUGAGCCAAAUUUUUAACCAGAUGCAUUGAUUUUUCAACCACCGCUUUAAUUUGUUUAUAUUUUAUUUCAGAAGAAGUAUUUUAUAAGAUUCUACGUAUAUUUGUGUGUACAAUCAAAUGGAAAAUGACAAUAUGAAAAUUAUGCAUAAGCGAAAAACAACUUAGGACAAUAAUUUAUAUCUAGAAGUGUUGAUAAAAAACGAUUGAGGGGAAACUCUACAAACUCUAUCGAACAUUUUCAGGACAUAUUAUAUCAUAUUAUAAUUUUCUUAGAGAAACAAGGUGUUUCCAGGGAUAUCAAUUAAGCAAGAGCAUGUGUAAAUAUACAAGAAACACAAUAUAAUUUUUUCAGAUAAUAAUAUAAACCUUUGAUAGCCAGUGAAGACUGUAAGAGCAGUGGACGAAAUGCAGACUUCGAUCAGGAAAAACUCUAUCAUAGAAAGAACCAGGAACACCAAAGAAGUAGCAAGGGCUCAUUUCAGUUUUGAUUUCAUCAAGUAGUUUAUGUUUAAAGCUAUCAAGUGACUUAAAAAUGUUGUUGAAGUCAUUCCCUGAAAGAUCGUUAAAAAAGAUCUUGUAUUCGGGAGAUGCAUAUUUCAAUUGUUGGCAAAGCUUCUCCACAACCAUGAUGAUUUCUGACACCACAGACAAAGUGUUUUGUCCACAAGAACAACCCAGAUCUGCAAUUGCAAGGCUUCUGGGAAGUGUGCUGGAGUAGAGGCUAGUUAUGGCUUCCUCUCUUAUAUGUUUUGUUAAAGAAAUUCCCUUUCCCUAUAAUGACAUAAAAAGAAAAUGUUUAGCACGGCGCGAGACAUUACAAAUUACCAAUUAUUUUCAAUGCAAUCAUUGAUAUGUUGUUGGAUUGAAAAGCUAAACUCUAAGUGUGAGAUGAAUAACAAUGAGAGAAUAUGAAUGAAAUUAUAUAAAGUGGCGUAAUCCUAUGUAUAGAGAGGAUUUAAGCUAACUAACUAAGGUUACUUGACUAACAAGUAAAUCAUGUGAUAAAGUUAAUUUUUAUCUAACUAACUAACUAAAUCUUAUCCGACUAAUUCCUAGUUAGUGUAAGGUAUAUAUAUACAUAAUAAAAUCUAAGCUUAAAUAUGUAUUUCAUCUUGCAAUUAGAGGUCGUUUAAAAAUUGAUCUCUAUAUUCGCUAAUCCUUGUAAACUAGCCUUGCAUUCUUUAAUCAUUUAAAAUUUCAUCCUUUGACCCAGUUAAUCACUGUCAGAUCAUCAAAUUAGCAAAAUGGCAUAAGAAUGGACAAAAAUAACCUCAUCAUCCUUCUUAUUUUCUUCAAUUUUCCAACGCUUAAACCAUUCAACCCUCUUCUCUUCUCUUCAUUUCUUUUCUGUAGAUCUAGCACUGUUAUUCUAUAUCCUCAUCUUAUUUCUCCUACGUGAAUAAUACCCAACAUUUUCAAACAUACCCAAUAUCAUUUACAUAAAACCAACACCGAAAUAGAGGUUUGAAUUCAAGGUUUUGCUGGUAAUUAUUGGGCCACCAUAAGUGCCUCUUGAAUAAGUUUCUUCCCCACACCAAUCAAAUUUAAUAUCAAAUACAGUGUUGCCUAUAAAACUAACCGUGCAAGCUACUAAUACCUCAAUCAUUUGAGUAAUGUAGAGCCAACUUGUUAAAUUGAAGAUGAAUAAAGUGGAACCUCUAAUCGAUGAAGGCAUGAACUUUAAACACAGUAACGAAAAUGAACAUGAAAACUGGCUCUAACAAUUGAAAUCGGAAAACAAAGUUUACAUGUGUCUGAUGGAAGCUAGAGAAAGCCAUUUAAUCCCUUUCAAAUCUUGUAUGUAAUUCUAUCAUUAGAGCCAAUGUAUCACAUGGGUAUUAUAAUUAUGCUGUUAAUAUAUAUCAUUUACCUAAUGGGUUUACAUUACCUUUGAUAAUUAAGUCUUGUUCGAAAAUUGGAAGUGUUGGUCAUUGUAAAAUUGUUCAUUGUCAUGUUUUGGAGAUGGGUUUUAAGAAUCAUGUUCAUGUCGUGAAUGAAUUGGUGGGUAUGUAUGGGAAAGUUAGGAGAAGAAGAAGAGGGUGAGUUGUGAUUUGUGUUUGGAGAAGAAGAAGAAAUGAAAGAAUACGGGUGAGAAGAAGAUGAAGAUAGGUCCCUAAAAAAAAAAAAAGAUGAAGAUAUAUAGGGGUAAAAUUGUCAUUUCACGUGUGGGUUGACCAAUUACCAGAGCCACGUCAUCAAAUUAAUGACGUGGCAGUCAUUGACUGGGUCAAAGGAUGAAAUUUUAAACGAUUAAAGAAUGCAAGACUAGUUUGCAAGGAUUAGCGAAUACAGGGACCGAUUUUUAAACGAUCCAUAAUUGCAAGGAUAAAAUACAUAUUUAAACCUAAAAUCUAUGGUGAUGGGUGGUGGUGGUGGGGUUGGUGGUCCAUUGUAGUAGUUGUACAUUAUAAAUUAGUUCUUCAUGCUAUUUUUGAAAUACAAAAUAAGGUGAAAUAUAUUUUUAUCUCUGAAAUAUUUUAAAAUUUGUUUUGGUUCAACAAAUCUAUCUUGCGAGCAAUUUUACUCUCUACUGAUAAAUCACCAUAGAUAUUUUUUAAUGGUUUUUAGGAGACAUGUUUAAAAAACUAUAAAUGUUGCCCUGUACUUUAUUUUUAUUUUUAUAUGAGAUGAAUUAAACAUGAAUUUUUUAAAUGUCCAAAAGUUUAAGAUAAAAAUAAUAACGAAAAUAUGGAUUAUAAAAAUAAAUUUUAGACUAAUUUUUUGUAGAAUGUUUUUAUGAUAUUUUAAACAUAAUAUAAAAAAAAUCACUUAAAAAUAUACGUUGACUUGGCAAAAGAAACUAAAUAUGUGAUUUUUUUUUUUUUUUUUAUGGAAAUGAAAAACAAAAGUUUGAAAGUUCAAAAAUGUUAUUUAGGGUAUGUUGUAUAUAUCAUCAAGUAAUACGAACACAAGUUAUGCAAAUGCUAUAAUAAAUAUCAUCUCAAUGCUAAAAUCACCACCAUGACUAUAGUCACCAGAAAACCCAAGCUUGGUGAUAACAUCAAUACCCGAUCUAUUUAGAUUAAUAAAAGAGAGGGAAAUGUUAAAUAAUUAGUAAUAUAAUUAAGAGGUAAAACUUAGAGUAAGUCUAAUCAUAUAGAGUGAUAAAAAAAAGUCUAAUUGUAGAGUCAACCGAUCUAAUCUGUGUGUGUAUAUAUGUAUGUACCUGGAAAAAUGAGUUGUUUGCAUAACUUGUUUUCCCAUCGCCUCCAUUCAUGUGCACUAUCUUCCCCACGUCCAUUCUUGCUUCUUUUAGCUUUAUUUCUCUCUAGAUAUAAAUUUAUGUUGUGUAAUGUGCACUAUCAUUUAAAAGAUAUGUUGAGUAAUGUGUACACUAACCAUUAUUGCGAGUGCUACAUCAAUGGGGCCAUCCCUGUUAUUUUUACUUUUUUAAACAAUAUCUAUUAACUUUAUUGUACCUACCAUUAUUGGCUGGGUUUUAGAUGUAGAUAUUCUUCUCCUUUAAUUUAUAUAUUUUUUAUAAUAAAAACUAUAAAUAAAUUUAAUUAUUUUUUAUCUUAAUCUACGUAAGAAAUUUAGUGUCACAACCACAUUAACAUAUUUGAACAAAAUAUAUAUAUAUGAAUGACCUAAAUAAGAAAAAAUAAAUAAAAAGACUAAAAUGCUAUAAAUAAAUAAGAUAAAUGACUCCAAGAUGAUUUUUGUCCAAAAAAUAUCAAUGCUCAUUGGCAUAAUAUUUAUUAGAAAUAAUUACUUAUAAAAAAAUCAAGCAAAACAAUCCAACCAAUUCGAAUUGAGUUUAAUGAACGGACAUGAUGAACUAAGGUUUGAAUCUCAUUGAAAGACACUUUAAAUAUGAGUAUCUACAAACAAACAAUCCGUCACAAUGACUUUCAAUAUCUUUUUUUAAUCAAAAUAAUACAAACUAGAAAAAACAAACUUCUUGCUUAUUAUGCUUUUCUAGUCAAUGAUAUGAUAACUUUAACGGCCUUCAAUUUCUCUUUGGGUAAUUUAUCAAUUAUGAUUUUUUGGUGACGGCUAAAAAUCUCUUCGAUUAUAUCCUCACCAAAGUGGCUAACUACCAAUGGUUCAGCCAUAGCUCUCAUUAAUCGUGCAGCAUUAUAUACAUAUUCAUGAUGAUUAGAACCAUCUACAUACGCUUCAAACAACUCCAAACGAUUGAUGGCAAAUGAUCCUUCAUUGAGAACUUCUAACUCAACUUCAUAUGGUGAUGGAUAAUAUUGAGGGACAUUAAAAGUAUUCACUUGAUCUUCCUUUAUAAUCCCCUGUUGCAUACAAAAACCAUAUUCAUAUUAUAGACUAACACAAAUCAACUUCUACUCUAAAUAAAAAUCUAAGUAGAGUGUUUUAGGUUCGAACUCCGAUCCCUGCAUAUAACAAUGUAAUAUCCCUGCUAACCGAAGUUAUGCUCUAAGGAGCCAGAUAAAUAGGUUAUUUAUCUUUUAUAGGAAGACUUCUUUUUCAUUUAUAGGAUGCUUAUAUAUAUAUACCUCUAAGACCAUGCCAUUAAGAACAGCAGCUAAAAGCUCCCAAUAGUAGCAACAAUAUUUUAUGUCACAUGGAUCUUCAUUUCUUCUUCCUGGCAUUGUUAGAACCAUGCAACCCCCUUCAACUAGUUCCUCUGCACGACACUUGAGAAAAACCGAGAAGUCUCUUUUAAAUUGAUCAUAGUAUGCUUUGACAACAUUUGAGGGACUUGUGUAGUUGAUGUAAAUGUUGCUCUUAUUGUUCUCUAUACCCUCCGGAACCUAAUAAUUCCCCAUAAAAAAUACAAGGUGUUUCCUAAGGUAUAAAUUAAGAAACGGCACACAAAAAUAUACAAGAAACACAAUAUAAAAAAUCAGGUAACAAUAUUUACCUUUGAUAGCCACUGAAGGCUGUGAGAGGAAUGAAUGAAAUGUAAACUUCGAUUAGGAAAAACUCUACUAUAGAAAGAACCAGGAACCCCAAAAAAGUAGCAAGAACUCAUUUUAGUUUUGAUUUCAUCUUGCAGUUUCUCUUUAAAGUUGUCAAGUGACUUAAAUAUGUUGUUGAAGUCAUUUCCAGAAACAUCAUUAAAAAAUAUCUUGUACUCGGGAGAUGAAUGGUUCAAUUGUUGGCAAAGCUUCUCCACAACCAUGAUAAUAUCUGAUACCACAAACAAAGUGUUUGGUCCAGAAGAACAACCUAAAUCUGCAAUUGCAAGGCUUUUGAAAAGUGUUUUGGAGUAGAGGCUUGUUAUGGCUUCAUCUCUUAUUGGCUUUGUCAAAGAAACUGCAUUUCCCUACAACAACAUAAUAAAGAAAAUAUUUAAAAUCACUUAAAAAUAGUUUUUAAUUUUUCAUAACUAAUCUUUCAUGGUAUGGAUUCAAAUGAUAACAAAAUUACUCAUUUUAAAUUAACCAUAGGCAUUAACUAAUUAACUAACAUCUUAUGUUUUAGUUUGUACUAUUCGUCCUGAGUAGGGAUUGAGUUUUUAAAUAAAAUUUGUUGUUAAACAAAAAAAAAAAAAACUAAUACCUGAUGAAAUGAGUUUUUUGCAUAGCUUGUUUCUCCAUCACCUCCAUUCAUGUGCACUACCUGCCCCAGGUCCAUUCUUGUUUCUAUUAGCUUUAGUUUUUCCUUUCUAAGUCUUUUGAUGGAGUGUUCUUGUGUGCUUAAUGAUAGGUCAAACAACUAACACAUAUAUAGAUGUGAUGUUAUAAUGAUAUCGUGAUCACUAAAAAUUGAACUAUACUUUCCUCAAAAAAAAAUAAAAAUUGAACUAUACUAGAAUAAUACCUAACAUUGACUUAAAAAAAAAUAAUGUCAUAAUCACAGGUCAUACACUGAAAAAUAUCAAUUAAAAUUUGGACACCCUUAAUUUUAAACUCUUGAUCAAGAUAUUCUGUCACCUCACAUGCUUUUAUUGUCUUUUUCCUUUUUUCGUUGACGAAAGCAAACUUUUUUAAUCCAAGUACUCUCUCACAUCAGAUGCUUUUAUAGGCUUUUGUCUCUUAUGUUGCUUCAAUUCAUUAUUUGAUAGUACUAUCUUAGCUUAUUUUUUAGCACUUCGAUACAAUUUGUUAAACAACAUGCAGUUUACUUUAUUAAUGGAUUUCUUGUUAGUUUAUCGAUGCUUUUGUAUCAUAUUAAAAAAAAAAAUGUUACUAAAGAAAUAUCAUACAUCGCUCCAUAACCAACUUGAAUUGAACUCACUUCUGUAACAACCGACACGGAAUAAAUCGACAUUCAAGUUUAAUGAUUUUCGUUACUUGCUCAAUACUGAAUUGAACUCAAGGAAUAAAUCACUUUUAACCCUAGAUUUUUAAUAGUGGACAUAGAAUACUUGUUUACAAAAUAAUUGUUUUUUGAGAUACUAGAUUAUUUAGUUGUGAAAAAAUUUUAGUGAUGACACUAAUUGUCCAAGAGAUUAGGGUCAUGUGUUUGAUAAAGGAGACAUUGAACUAAUAAAAUUGGUCUUGGUUUACUUUGCUAAAUUGUUGUGAGCAUAAUCAAGUGAAUCUUGCUCAAAAUAUAGGAAGGGACGCUAAGAUAUAUAUUAAUUGAAAUUGAUUAAAGUCAUUUAUCAAAGUCACAUAGUCCCUUCGUCCUAUAAUAGAUGAUCUAUUUGACAAUGUUCACCGUUGAUUUAUCAUAAUUUGACUAUAUUUUUUUAUUAAUAUACAACGAACAAAAUCAAGAUUAAUCAAUUAAUUAAUGAAUUGAUAAGUAAAUUACAAUUAACUAAGCAAUUUGAUUAGCAAAAUUAUAAGUUUCUGAAAUUGUAAUUUGUUUUGCUUACAGAUCUAAACAGAAAAACGGUUAAAGUAAAUUCAGCAGAAAAUUGAAUGUUUUGAUCAAGUACAUGAACAUAUUUUUUGUUUGAGUCAUGUUAAUCGGGCCUUCAGGGCACUGGUUAAGGAAACUAAAAAGGAAAUUUUAAAUUGAAAAUAACAUAUUUUAUGCUUUUGAGGAGUUGACAAUGUAACGCCCCAAUUUUAUUUAAUUAUUUUUAGUUAUUUAAAGUCCUUUAUAUGAUUUUUAAAUCAUUUAUGUUGUUUUGUGGUGUGGUGUAUUUUAUUAAAUGGCUAUUUUUAGUAUUUAAUAGAAUAAGUGAGAAUUAGGAUUUAUUUUGGAGUUUGGGGGUUAAAUUAGAAUUUAAUAGAAAUAAGAGGAGUUAAGGAAUAUUGAGAGGUUAUAUUUAUUAAGAAAUAGAAAAUAGAAGGGGGAAGCAGUUUUCACGUACAACAGAGAAAAAGGAGAAGAGUCAAGAAAAGGGAAGAGAACCAAGAAGGGCUGCGAUUUCGAUUAUCUAAGGUAAGGGUGAGGCUAACUUACAUUAAUUUUAGUGUAUAUGAUUCUGAUUAUGUUUUAACAAAAGUUAUGAAUAAAUUUGAAGAAUUGGGAAUUAGGGUUAUGAUGAGAAUUGAUGAUUAAAUGAUGGAAUUAGGGUGAAUUGAUGUAGAAACGAUGAACAGACCUUAAAUGUUUCAUAUAUUGACGUUUAGAAUCAGUUUUAAGGUUAGAACAAUGGGUUUGGGUGAAUUUUUGAGAAAAACUGUAACCUGGCCGUACUGUUAUUCAUCGCUCGCCUCCCGAGUGAUGAUCCUCGCCAUAGCGAGUGAUGAAGAUCAUAGCUCGCCUCGCGAGCAGGAGUUACUCGCCUCGCGAGUUGCAUUUCGCAGCUCGCCAUGGCGAACAAAUUUACUCGCCAUAGCGAGUGUGGGCAGAGAGCUUGCAAGAUUCUGUGUUUUUGAGCUGUGAGUUCAACCUUGGGUGUUUAUGAGGGCCUGAACAUGUACCCUAAUGAUUAGGCAAAGUUUUAGAAGGAGAUUGAACUUGGAAUGGUGUCAGAAUGGAAUGGGGAGUAUUUUACACUAACUCGCCAUGGCGAGUAGAGCCUCUCGCCUCGCGAGUUGUCCCAUUUCAGAAGCCUUGUUUAGGAUUUUGCGAUCUUUUGUCGCACGUGAUGAUAUGAGUAGACCCUUGAGGUAGGAGAGUAGUUAUUCUUGAUUAUACGGAGAUUCAGAGAGGACGUUUGUAAUGUUUAAUGACAUCGACUUAGGUUGAUGAACAAAUGAGGAGAUAGUUAUAUAUUAUGAAAGAUGUUGAUAUGAGUCCUACUCGUUGUAUAUGAUGGUUAUUAUGGUCGUUGUCUCGCUGCUUGUUAUUAUAUGUUGUUGAAUUGAAUAUGAUUUGCUGUUGAUUGUUGGUUUAUGCAUAAAUGCAUUCAAUUAGAUUAUACAAGAUGUUAGUUCAGGUUGUAAGGUUGCAAGUUGUCGUUCUAAGUAACGGAGUCAUAGGUUGUUGAUGUUGGCCAAGUUGGGGAGUAAGUCAUAAGUUAUUAUGCACAGUCGUUGUCGUAGUUGAGUUGUAUGUUGAUAUACACAAGUCGAGUCCUUUCAUGAUUAGGAAACCGUUGAGGGCUCAUGCCCUGGAAUGCUCGUCAUUCAACCGUUGAGGGCUUAUGCCCUGGAAUGCUUUGUCAUUCAAAUGUUGAGGGCUUAUGCCCUGGAAUGCCUUGUCAUUCAAUCUGUUGAGGGCUCAUGCUCUGGAAUGUUAAUCAUUCAACCGUUGAGGGCUUAUGCCCUGGAAUGCCUUGUCAUUCAAUCUGUUGAGGGCUCAUGCUCUGGAAUGUUAAUCAUUCAACCGUUGAGGGCUUAUGCCCUGAAUUGCCUUGUCAUUCAAUCUGUUGAGGGCUCAUGCCCUGGAAUGUUCAUCAUUCAAAUUUGUUGGGGCUUAUGCCCCGGAAUGCUUAGUCAUUCAACGAGUUGAAAAUAGUACCUCGUUGUUCGUUGUCGUUGAUGGUGAUAUUGUCGUUGUUGUAGGUUGUGUUGUGGUUGUUGUUGUUGAGGGAGAUAUAGCUGUUGUGGUCGAGUUGUUGUUGUCGUUGUUGGUUGAUUUAGUAAGAGUUAUUAAAGUUGAAGAAGUAUGAAUAUUUUUGUUGAAGUAUAAGUUGCUUAUUACGUUAUUUAAUUAAGUUGUUGAUUUAUAUAUCUAUUAUUAUUGUUUGUGAAUCUCACCCCUUCUGCUUGGAAUUGUUGCCCUUCGUAUGGGUAACUUGCAGGUAUUGAAGUUUAUUAGAAGUGGUGGCUCAAAGUGUCUAGGGCUCUGAUACGUACGGGAUGGGAUUUUUCUUAUUGUUUUUCAUUCCUAUGUAUCAAAUUUGAAUGUUGCUGACGUAGCCCUAUGGUUGAUGAAUUUAUGUUGAUAAGGCUUUAUGCCAAGGAUUUAAUUAUGGAGAUUUAAACUAUUGCUAUCGUUGUUUUGAUGCAAAUUUUCCGCUGCAAAUUUAGUAAUGACUUUGAAGGAUGUUUAUUAAAUAGAUUUUAUAUUCUAUUUAAGAAAUUUUGAAAAUGUAGUGUGACAUGCCCGUUUGGGAAUUACUCUGAUGCAUGAAUUAUUAAUUAAUUGAUUUUUGGGAAACGGGGUGUUACAGACAACACAAGUUCCAAUAUAAUACUUACUACAUUUGACUCCUUAACAAUGCCCAAUGGGCACGGGUUAACAUUUCCCUUUUUGUUUUAUUCCCUACAAAAAGAAAUCUUACUUUUUAGUCCUUGUAACAUUUUCCCUUACCAUUUUAGUAAUAAAAAAUGGAAGCAAAUUUUUUUUGCAUGGACUAAAAUGACGAUGAAAUUUUUUAACGGGAUUAAAAAUGCUAACGGAAAAUUUUAGAUAUAUACUAAAAAAAUGCACUUUUUUGUAAAGGCUAAAAAUAAAAUUCAAAAUAUUUAUAGGGAGCAUUUACUUAAUUAACCUAUAAUAUAUACCUAAAACCCACAUAACAAUUGAGACACAAUAACUAGGAAGUAGAGGCAAACAAGUGUGGGUGCGCACGCACGCAUACGCGCGCGUGCGUGUUGAAAAUAUAUUUAAUAUAGAUAUUAUUUACCAAUUGUUAGAGAUCAUAAAAUAACAAAAUAAUAUUGAAAUGAUAAAAAUAUAAAUUAAUUUUUUACGUUUACAAAUUUUAAUUACACACUAAUUGUCUUAAUAUAUUUAGAACAAUCGACAUCGAAUUCGAUUGAUAGGAAUCUGAAGAUAAAAAGAAUUUAAAGUUUAAAUAAUCAAUAAAAUACUCAACAUUGAAAUCAAACUUACAACAUGAACUAUGAUUUUUCAUCUACAUACCACUUAAACUUCGAGAGAACAUGUUUACGAAAUUUGACGUAGAAAAUAUUUUCAAAGAUAAAAAUAUGAGGCCUGAAACAAACUUUUAUAAUCCAAGUACUCUCUCACAUCAGAUGCUUUUAUAGGCUUUUGUCUCUUAUGUUGCUUCAAUUCAUUAUUUCAUACUAUCUUAACUUAUUUUUUAGCACUUCUUACAAUUUGUUCAACAACAUGCAGUUUACUUUAUUAAUUGAUUUCUUGUUAGUUUGGCUGUGUUUGGUAACACAAAAAAGCUAGUUUAUAAGUUUGUUGGAUGAAAAUGUGAUGUGUUUGGUACCAAGCUUUUCUCAUGAGCUUAUAACGUUUUUUGAAAAACUAUUUCAAAUAGCUUUUGAGCUUAUAGCUGGUAGCUUUUUAUAUUUUCUUCCAAUUUUAACCUUUUAUUAAUAUAGUUUAAUUUAAUUUUAAUUAAAAAACCUACCCACAUUCUUAUUCAAUUGACCACGUUUAAAAAAAAACUACCCACAAUCUUUUUCAAAUUUUCUUGUUCACUUUCUUUUUUACAUACUCUUAAUACUCUUAAUUCAAUAAUAAAUAAUUUUAUAUAAAAUUUACAAUAAAGGGUGAAGAAAGUUUAGUUGAGUAAAAUUCAUUAAAAGAAAGUUUUGUUAAAUAAAAAAUGUCAAUUGAAUUCAUAAAUACAUUUAUCAUUUGGGAGAUGAAAAUAUUUUGAAAUAAAUUUAAACAUUUAAAAAGAAAUACAAUAAUUAAUAAAAAAAUGUAUAUAUGAUUUAUAAAAAAAGAUUGUCCUUAUACGUCAUUUUAUAUUUAUCAGCCAUUUGAACAACUAAUUUUACCAAAUAUUUUUUUAUUUUAAUAAGCUAACUUUUCAGCUAUAAGCUAUCAGCUAUCAGCCACCAGCUAUCAGCUAGCUUGUCAGCUAUCAGCUGACUUAUAACUUCUUUUUACCAAACACACCCUUUAUCGAUGCUUUAGUAUACAAUACUCAUAUUAAAAAAAAAAAAAAAAACAAUGUUAAAAGAAAUAUCAUACACCCGUCCAUUGAGUUGAACUCACUUCCAUAACCUUAGAUUUUAUAAGUUGACAUAGAAUUCUUGUUUACAAAAUAAUUGUUUUUUGAGAUACUAGAUUAUUUAGUUGUGAAAAAAAUUAGUGAUGACAUUAAUUGUCCAAGAGAUUAGGGUCAUGUGUUUGAUAAAGAGACAUUGAACUAAUAAAUUGGUCUUGGUUUACUUUGCUAAAUUGUUGUGAGCUAAUCACGUGAAUCUUGCUCAAAAUAUAGAAAGGGACGCUAAGAUAUAUAUAUAUAUAUAUAUAUAUAUAUAUUAAUUGAAAUUGAUUAAAGUCAUAUACUUCAUUCGUCCUAUAAUAGAUGAUCUAUUUGACAAUGUUCACUAUUAAUUUAACAUAAUUUGACCAUAUUUUUCUAUGGGUCCUACUAACCGGUGCCCCCGGAGCACUGGUUAAGCAUACCAUAAAAGAGAAUUAUUUUCAUAAAAGGAAACUGUUUUUGACUUUAUUAUAAAUUAAUUACACAAUUUCAAUGCAUUAACUACUAUAUAAUUUUCUUUUUCAUAUCCUUAAGUGUCUCAGGGACACCGGUUAACAUUUCCCUUUUUCUAUUAAUCAAUUAAAGAUUAAUCAAUUAAUUAAUGGAUUGAUAAGAAAAUUACAAUUGACUAAGCAAUUUGAUUAGCAAAAUCAUAAGUUUCUGAAAUGGUAACUUUUUUUCCUUACAGAUCUAAACAGAAAAAUGGUUAAAGUAAAUUCUGCAGAAAAUUGAAUGUUUUGAUCGGGUACAUGAACAUAUUUUUUGUUUGAGUCAUGUUAACUAGUGUUCCAGUGCCCUCUAGUUAAAAAAAAACUAAAAAGGAAAUUUUAAAGUGAAAAUAACAUAUUUUCUGCUUUUGAGGAGUUGACAACACAAGUUUCAAUAUAAUAUUUGCUACAUUUGACUCCUUAAUCAAUGUUUUGGGGCACUAGUUAACAUUUUCCUUUUUGUUUUAUUCCCUACAAAAAGAAGUCUUACUUUUUAGUCCUUGUAACAUUUUCCCUUGACAUUUUAGUAACAAAAAAUGCAGGCAAAUAUUUUUUGCAUGGACUAAAAUGACGAUGAAGUUUUUUAGAGUGAUUAAAAAUGUUAACAGAAAAUUUUACAUAGACUAAAAUAUAUACCUGAAACCCACGUAACAAUUGAGACGCAAUGGCUAGGAAGUAGAGGCAAACAUGCGCGGGUGCGCGCACACAUACGCGCGAGUGCGUGUUGAAAAUAAUAUUUAAUAUAGACAUUAUUUACCAAUUGUUAGAGAUCAUAAAAUAACAAUAAUAUUGAAAUGAUAAAAAUAUAAAUUAAUUUUUUACUUUUACAAAUUUUAACUACACAUUAAUUGUCUUAAUAUAUUUAUAACAACCGAUAUCGAAUUCGAUUGAUAGGAAUCUGAAGACAAAAGGAAUUUAAGGUUCAAAUAACCAAUAAAAUAUCUAGCAUUGAAAUCAAACUUACAACAUGAACUAUGACUCUUCAUUUGUAUACCACUUAAACUUCGAGAGAAUGUUUACGAAUUUUGACGUAUGAAAAUAUUUUCAAAAAUAAAAAUAUGAGGCCUAUCACGGGGCUUAAAAAACUCGGGAGCCUAAAAUUAGACAUAUGGAUUACAACACCAUUGAAAAGAAAAUGUUAGCAUCAAAGCAUAACCAAAAUUAGACAAUUUUUUUUGACUAUCUUGUCUUGGAAUAAAGCACAAAACGUAAAGAAAAGUAUAAUUUAACAACAAUAAAUAAUUAAAAUAAACUUGUAUUUAUUAUUAGUAUAUUUUUGUUAUACAAUGCAUCAUUUAGAAUAUUGUCAUGGCUUCCAUAGUAUAAAAGGUUUACAAUUUCCAAUGGAAGGGCAAGACAUGUAAUUGUUUUUCGAUUGAUCCAAGCAUAGCCUUAUAAUUUCAACGAACUCAUUUGUACAAUAAAGUUUUGGGUCCUAACCAGAAUUGUGCUUUUUUAGUUGUUGAGGAUGAGGGACAUUAGGGCUUGGAGAAAUGCCUUCUUGCCUAAGAAUAUCAAAAACAUCCUUUUUCCUUCAAAUGUUUUGUGCUAGCUCAAUGUGUUUGGUUAAAAUGUUAUACGAGCAACUCCCAUAUUUUUUUCACUUGUACUGCCAAAAAAUUAUUUCGUGGUCCCUUUAGAUUUGGUCAAGAGUGAUCAAGGUUUCUCUUCAAUGUACUACUAAUUUGAUGAAAUAAAACAAUGACAAUAAUAUCAUAAUAAUCAAGAAUAAAUAACAACAACAUCAACAACAUGAAUAAUAAUAAUAAUAAGGCUUAAAUAUGUAUUUGAUCCCUGCAAAUAGGGGUCGUUUAAAAAUUGGUCCUUGCAAUCACUAAUUCUUGCAAACAAACCCUGCAAUUAUUAAUCACUUAAAAAUUGGUCCUUGUACCCAGUUAAACGCAUCCAGGUCAUCUGUUUACUGACGUGGCAACGUAUAACCGGUUUUCAGUUGACAGGUUAGCUAUAUGGGCAUGGGAAUGGACGAAAAUGCCCCUCUUCAGAUGAGGGCAAUGUAAAAUGACGUAACUACCCUCUAAUCCUUCAUUCUCAUGGUUGGUACGAAUUGCGAUCUCUGGGUGAAGAAAUUAGGGUUUGAAAAGGGGAUUACGGUUUCAAUGCGCGAUUGAAGUUGGUAUCUCAUACGGAUCGAAUCAAAUGAAGUUUCGUGACUCGUUUUCAAUGGCGAAUCCAAAGGAGGUGUCAUUUUCGAAUUCGAAGAACGCAAAGGAUGGAGAAUCGUCAGGUCAUAAUACAGGUAUGUUCAUUUGAAACGAUGAAUUAUGUUUUUAGUUGUUGUUUUUUCGGUUUUGUUUAGUUGAAUGUCAUCGUUUUUAAUUUAGGGUUUUAUUUUUUCCAUCAUUUCUAAAUUAGGGUUUAAUUAUUUUCCAGAUUUGGGUAUUUCCGUUAAGUUCCAUUAUGGGGGGAGGUUUGUUAGGGAUUGGGUUAUUUGUUACAAUGGGGGAGAAGAAACGUUGAUUGAAGGUGUAGAUCCUGAUAAAUGGUGUUUUUUUUGAACUAACUGGAAUAUUGGAAACUGAUUUGCUAGUUAAAAAACCUUUUAGGCUGUGGUGGAUGUUAGAUGAAGAUCUUAGUUUUAGGGUGAUUAAAGAUGAUGCCACUGCUGAAGUUGUAAAAGAUUAUGCACUUAACAAAAAUAUUGUUGUUAAUGUUUUUGUUGAACAUAAUGUGGAUGAAAGUACUGCUGUUGUUGAUAUCCCUAAUUAUGAUGUUGUUGGUGAGGAAUUGGGUGAGAGUUAUAAGGUAGUUAACAAUGAGAAGGGUGAGAGUUCUGAGGCAGCAAAAAGUGACAAGGGAAAAUGAGUAUUAGUGUACAAUGAUAAUGAACAAGGAGAUGGUGGAGAUGGUGGUAUAAGUAGUAGUAGUGAAGAUGAAGUUGAAGUUGAAGAUGAAGAUAGGUGUAUUGAUAGUGAGGAAGAGAGAGCACUGGGAUUUGAUGAUGGGUUUGAAGAAGUGGAUGAAGGCAAUUUGAAUGAAGACACAGGGGCAAAGAUGGCUGAUAUAGGAAGAAAUGUGGAAAUGGAUAAUAUAGAUGUUGAUGAUACUGAUUGGGGGAAGGAGUAUGAGAGUGAAGAGUUAGAUUCUGAUGAUCCUGAUUUGAGUGGUGAUGAGAGAGCACCUGCUUGUGAUGUGUUUAGGCCCAGCCAACUAACCAAGGAUUAUGUGUUCACAUUUGGCAUGGACUUUAAGAGUCUUAAAGAGUUCAAGGAUGGUAUAAGGGAAUGGUGUGUAUUAAAUGGGACCCAGAUGAAAAUAGUUAAAAAUGAUAAAAGUAGGUGUAGGAUAGUGUGCAAAGAUACCAAUUGUGACUUUACAGCCCUUUGCAGCAAGGUGGCCUACAACCAUUCUUUUAAAUUAAAGACAUGGAAUGGGGACCACACAUGUGGUAGGGUUUUAGAAAAUCGUAGUGCUGAUGUAAACUUUGUUACCAAAUAUGCCCUUGAGAAUAUGAGGACCUCUGAGAUGAAGGUUAGUGAUAUAAUGUCAGAUCUGAGAACACACAAGUCAGUUGGAGUGUCAUUUUACAUAGCUUGGAUGGCAAAAAAGAAGGCCAAGAAACUCAUAGAAGGGGAUGCAAAGAAACAGUAUACCUUACUGUGGAGGUAUGCAGCUUAGCUUCAGAGGGUAUCUAAAGGAAACAGGUGUAAGAUAAAUGUUGAUAGACUGUCUUUGAGUGUUCAACCCAAAUUUAGCAGGUUUUAUUUUUGCUUUGAUGGUUGUAAGCAGGCCUUUAUAUCAAGUUGUAGGCCAUUCAUAGGGGUGGAUGGGUGUCAUCUGAAAACCCAAUUUGGAGGUAUUUUAUUGGUUGCAGUUGGUAAAGAUGCAAAUGACCAAUACUUUCCUUUGGCUUUUGGAGUUGUAGAGACAGAAACAACAGAUUCAUGGAGGUGGUUCCUUACCUUACUGCUUGAAGAUAUUGGAAGUAAUAGGAGAUGGGUAUUUAUUUCUGAUCAACAAAAGGUUAGGUGUUUUGUUUUAGAUCUGGUUGGUUCUUUUAUGUAAAUUGUAUAUCUGGUUCUUUAACCUUUUAACUAUUUAUCAAUUUCAGGGGCUGAUAUCAGUUUUGGAGGAGUGGUAUGACAUAGUUGAACACAGACCAUGUUUGAGGCAUCUGUAUGCAAACUUUAAAAAGAGAUUUGGAGGUGGUGCUUUGAUCAGGGACUUGAUCAUGGGUGCAGCCAAAUCAACUUAUUAUCAAUUGUGGAAGUCAAAGAUGGAUGAGCUGAAGAAGAUUCACUUGAAAGCUUGGGAGUGGUUAGUGGCACAUGACCCUAAAAUGUGGUGUAAGCAUGCUAUUUCCUAUUAUCCUAAAUGUGAUGUCUUAAUGAACAACAUAUCUGAAGCAUUUAAUUCAACAAUAUUAGUUGCUAGAGACAAACCAAUACUUACCAUGGCUGAAUGGAUUAGAACAUAUUUAAUGAAUAGGAUGUCAACCAAUAGGCUUAAGCUACAGACUUGGAACCAUAAGAUAAUGCCUAUGCCUAGGAAAAGAUUAAACACAGAAAUUGUGAAGUCUGGUGGUUGGGUUGCCAUAUGGGGUGUUGCUGAGGAGUUUGAAGUUCAUCAGGUAGGAGGAAGUCAUGCCUUUACUGUUAAUUUGGCAAAAAAAACUUGUUCAUGUAAUUUUUGGGAGUUGGUGGGGAUUCCUUGCAGACAUGCCAUUGCAGCUAUGUCUAAAACUUCAAAGGACCCAGAAGAUUAUGUCUCUGACUGGUAUAGCAGGGAAAUGUAUGAAAAGUGUUAUACACACAAUGUAAGUGCUAUCAAUGGUCAAGACAUGUGGUCAGAGGUUGAAUGUGAGGAGUUGUUACCCCCUGCUUAUAAAAAGGGUCCAGGAAGACCAAAAAAGGUUAGAAUGAGAGAAGCUGAUGAAGCACCAUCCUCACAAGGUAAGUAUAAAAGAUCUGGGACUACUUACAGGUGCAUAAAAUGUGAUAAGUUUGGGCAUAAUGCUAAAGGAUGCAAAAGUCUAACUGUCAACCCCAAUGCUCAAAAAAGAAAGGUAUUACAUUUUAUCAUUUUUUAGAUUUAUUCUUCAAAUUUUGUAAUAAGCUAACAUGUGUAUUCUAUUAUUGGUGAACACAGAGAAAGCCACCAAGACAACCAAGUGAAGCUGGGACUGGUGCAAGUGAAGCUAAUGCUGGAGCAAGUGCAAGUGAAGCUAAUGAUGGAGCAAGUGCAAGUGCAAGUGAAGCUGUUUGUGGAGCAAGUACAAUUCAUGGUGGGGAGUCUACAUCAAGUGCAAAUGAGCCUGUGCAGGGUGCAAGUAAGAAAAGGAAGGUUGGGAGCAAUACAACAUUCAUUCCUCCAAAACAGAGUAAGAAACCUAAAAAAAAUCCCAUGGCUUUUAUGUCUUCAUCUGUAAAGCCAAGUGCUAAUGUUCAAACAACAGUUCACACCACCAACAAAUCACACACAUUAAUAGAGCCAACUGCAAAUGUCACCACUACGGUUCACACUUCAAGCACAUCUGUGAGGCCAACUGCAACUGUCAACACUGCGGUGCACACAUCAAAAAGUUCACACACAGUUGUUAAACCCAUAGCAAAUGUAACCACAGUUAUUAACCCAAAACCUACUGUUAUGAAGAAACCUUCUGUUAAACCUGGUAUGCAUAGAAAACCACCAAGAAAACCUACUGUUCGCACCUUAGAUGUUGUUAGGGCCAUUGUGGAGCCAAUAGUGAAAGUAAAAGCCCCUGUUAGGAGGAGUGGCAGAAUAGUCUGGAAAGGUCCUGCAAUAAAAAAAGGUCCAGGGAAAGAUAUGGAAAACCCAAUUGAGGUGGUUGAUGAAGAAGUUGAAGAGGCAGGUGGAUCAGGGAAACAUGUUGCUGAAGCUACACCAAGAAAAUUAACAGAUGCAGGUGGAAGCUGCUUGACCUUGUUAAGAAGUGUUGAAAAUGUGAAGUAUAUUUAGUGUUAAUGAUGUAAUGACAUUUCCACUGACUUGUAUUUUGUGUUUUGCAAAGUCCAACUUAUGCAACUUGUUUAAGACUUGUAUCUUGGUGUUUGGCUAUGUCCCACUUAUGUAAUAGCAGUACUUGAAUUGUCAUAACUCUGUGAUUUGCUUGGCUAAGUCCAAAUUUUGUAACACAAAGUAUGAACAUCAGUUAUUAUAAGUAUUCAACUUUUGGCAAAGAAUGAAUUAUUUUUAAGUAUUCAACAAUUAUAACUUGUGUUUCAAACUUUAAUUGCAAUCAUCUUCCAAACAUUGACACAAACUAACAAGCCAUGAUUUCAUUCAUAAACUUCACAUUACAUAAUAGUUGUACCAACAAAAGUACACAAACACAAUACACAAUUACACAACAAAACAUUACACCAUAACACACCACAGCUAACAUCAAACUUACAAACUACAUAACAUUACUUCUUAGCAAAGAAUACAGCAAAGAUCAACCAGCUAGCUAUGAUAAUCCACUUAAGCAAUUCAACCUUCUUCUUCUCAGCCAACACCUUCAUUUUCCACUUGUCUUUCUUCUUCUCCCAUAAUUCACCACAGUUGCAAUGUUGGUUUGUAUACCUUCCAGACUUUGCAGACUCAGCUUCACGAAUCACAGGUCCAUUCACAGGUGCAGACUCAUCUUCACGAAUCAGAUGUGCAUUACCAUCUUCACGAAUCAAUGGUGUGAUGUAGUAUUUUUGCAUCAAACAAUAGUAAGUAUUUAUAUCGUCUCCUCAGGGACUAGUGCGAUAUCGCGGACCGUUCGACACCAAAUAUCAUUUCAAGUUAAACGAUAGUUGAUUGUUUGUUUUAGUAACUGAAUUGCAAAUGAUAAAAUUGAGAUUAAUAGGGCGUAAAACUUGUUAGGAUUAGAGUUCCUUGAUCGAGCGUCGCACGUAACCUAAUGAUCAUACAUGGAUUCUAGCUUUUCUUUGAUAUUAUCACGUAUCCCUCGACAACACCAUUCGUGUCCAAACAAUAUUGUGAAAUCAAUUGUAUCAUUCAAUGGUCGAUGUCUCAAACUAUUGAAUGAUUCAAGAGUCGAUCUUAUCGUUCAAUCGAUGAUUUCUCAAUCUAUUAAAUGAUAAGAAAGCUUUAGGUUUGGAUACUCAAGGUGAUUAUCAAAACAUCGAUUCCAUGUCUAGAAACUAUGUUUUGAUAGAUGGUUAUUCUAAACCUAGAUUCAAAAGUAUUUCUCAAUCACAAUUAAAUCAAAGAUAAAGAUUAAAGUGCAAGAAUAACCUCAAUAUCAAUUCAAAUGCUAGAACCAUAUAUUUAUAGAUCAAACGAUUACAUGUUAAACUAUGAUCAAGUACCUCUAAUCCCAACAAAGGAGAUUUAGCUACUCAUUGUCAUGGAAGCCUUGCAAGAAUGAAUUGAAGAAGCAAGAUUCAUUACAACUUGUGAUGUCUCAACAAAGGAUGAAGAAUCCACUCUCUAUCACUCUCACUCUAUAAAGCACAAGCCCUAUCUCUCUCUCUAAGAAUAUUACAAGUGAAAACACAGAGAGAAACUAAGUGAAAAACUAUGUAAAAACUAUCUCUCUCUGAAAUGGUUGAGUGGGCUAUUUAUAGAAUUCUGAGUCUGCCUUCACUCGCCUCGCGAGCUGCUUCAUUCGCCAUGGCGAGUUGAAGUUUCUUCCCCAUUGGGUUUGUGCCACGUCAGCAUUUAGAGGCUAAACCGCCCUUACUCGCCUCGCGAGUCCUUCCAUUCGCCAUGGCGAGUAAGCUCGCCUUCUACUCGCCAUUGCGAGUUGGUGGCGUGUGAUCUUUGUUGCAUUCUGGAAUUGCUCGCCUUUGCUGCUUGCCAUGGCGAGUUGGAGGCGAGUAAUCUCCUUUUUCUGCCUUUUUGUACUUUUCUCGAUUUUCUUCUCUUUGCUUGAUGUCUUGAGUUCGAAUCCUGCACAAAUGGGUGAAGUAAGAUAGAUAAAGCGUAAAAGGGCAAUAAUCACUUAUUUCUCGGCUUUUCCCUUAAUAACUUGCAAAACAAGUAACAAAAGUGCCUAAAAUAUAUCACUUAAAUUACAACUUUCUAGCACUUAUCAUGGUGCAGAGUCUGCUUCCUUUGAGUUUGAAACAGCUGAAUAGCACUGAGCCAUUGGUCUGGUAGCUGGACCAAGUUCAUCAUCCCAAAUCCACUCAUUGUAGGUUUUGUAUUUUUUCUACAUACCAAAGCAAGCAUUUUCCAAUUUUAUUCACUGUCACUGUAUUGUAUUUACAAUACAAUGAAAAACGGAAAUUUCAUAAAAUAAAACUUACCUGCCAAUCGCGACUCUCCAAAACCUCCUGCCUUGAUUCUCCAAAGUCGUUGCUAUGUAAAGAAUCAUCGGCUUCAUAGGUAAACAACGGCACAGUGGAAGCAUCCCUCGAGAUGUGGGCAAUGAGGGAGGGGGAAACUUUCCACCAUUGCAGUAGGUUUCGUAGUUGUCUUUUGUUGAGGUAUCGGUUGACAUUUGCAAUGUUCAGGAAACAAUGAUUGAAAUGAAAUGGAGAAGAAGAAGAGAACGAUCUGGAGAUCCAGGAAGAAGAGGGUCGCGGUGAAAGAGAAGAGAAAAGGAUGGUUUUUGAAGAAGAUGAACGAAGGGUAGUUACGUCAUUUUACGUUGCCCUCAUCUGAAGAGGGGCAUUUUUGUCCAUUCUCAUGCCCAUAUAGCUGACCUGUCAACUGAAAACCGGUUAUACGUUGCCACAUCAGUAAACAGAUGACCUGGAUGCGUUUAACUGGGUACAAGGACCAAUUUUUAAGUGAUUAAUAAUUGCAGGGUUUGUUUGCAAGGAUUAGUGAUUGCAAGGACCAAUUUUUAAACGACCCCUAUUUGCAGGGAUCAAAUACAUAUUUAAGCCUAAUAAUAAUAAUAAUAAUAAUAAUAAUAAUAAUAAUAAUAAUAAUAAUUUACAUUAUAAUAUUUAGGGGCCGGGUUCGAACCCUUAUUUCAUCUUAGGUGACAUGUACCACUGAUACACCCACACACAAUUGUUAUAUUAGCAGCUCCCGUAUUUUUUCCACUCGUACUGCCAAAAAAAAAUUAUUUCGUGGUCCCUUUAGAUUUGGUCAAUAGUGAUCAAGGUUUCUUUUCAAUCAAGAAUAAAUAAUAAUAAUGAUUAGGCCUAAAGAUAGGGUUCUUUUCAAUCAAGAAUAAAUAAUAAUAAUGAUUAGGCCUUUAGAUUUGGGCUUGAUACUUGUUGUUCUGAGGCGUGAGCAGAAAAAUCCAACAUAUGAAAGAGCAAAAAAAUCCAUUAAAAUUGGCAUUAGUGGUUUAUACCUAGAAAAUCAACAAUAAAAUCAUUAUUACAAUGUUUAGAGGUUUGCAAAAAUAAAAACAAAGUUAUCUUUAAGCAUCAGGAUCAAAUCAAUUUCCAUUCUUUCUUGAUAUCCAAAACAAAAAAACCAGAUCAAGGGUUUCACGUUGAGCUGCAAUCAUCUCACGCAUUUGUAAAGGCAAAUUAGCUAUUGUACAUAUUAGUGAACAAAUUAAUCAUGUUAGUUUCAGCAAUACCUGAUUGAGGGUUUGCGAGGAUUCAACUAUGGGUUCACAACGGAUGACGGGUUUGCGGAGGAUGACAUAUUCGCGGAGAAAGAUCAACGAUUUUGUGAUUAGUGAUGCAGAUCGAUGGGUUUUAACGGUGGAUGGGUUCGAGGGAAGGAUGGGUUCGCGGUGGAAGAAAAGAUAGGGUUCCAUGCGGUAAGAUGGGUUGGAGUGAGAGAAGGAAGAGAGAGAUAUAUACUUGCGGUUUGGAGACGGCGCGCGGUUUUGUGGUGGAGGAGAAGAGGUUUUCAGUUUUUGAUGGAGAAGAGCUACACAUACGAUUGCCUUUUGUUAGGUCCUUUUUUUUUUUAAUAUACUCCAAUUUGAUAAACACCAAACAUAGCGUUUGUAUAAAAACGCUAACUACCCCCCCUAAUAAUAGCGUUCAUUGCAAAGCGCUAUCUUUGCGAAGCUAAGUAACAGCGUUUACCUAGCUAAAAGCGCUAUUUAAUCCAUAUUUUUUAGUAGCUUUUCUUUAGCGCUCGACCAAAAAGGUUAUUAAAGGCAUGUAUGUUGCCUUUUUAAUAUCAUUUAUAUAGAAAAGCUAUUAAAAUUGUGUUAUUAAAAGCUAAAAAUUGCAAUAGUGAGGGUAAUUGAAAAGAAAAAUUAGUCUCCGUGAGCAUAACUCAAUUGGCAGGGACAAUACAUUAUUAUAUGCAGGGGCCGAGGUUCGAACCCCGGACACCCCACUUAUUCACUUUAAAAGUGAAUUCCUAGUCACUAGGCUAUCUGACCAAACAAAAAAGAAAAUUAAAAAAGAAAAUUAAGUGAUUCAUCUUCAUAAUUCAUAUCAUUGGGAAAAAUAUUUAGAAAACAUCAUCAAUGAUGUAGGAAUAAAUUAUGUUACCGUGAAUUUAUGAAUUAAGAUAUGCACUAAUGGUCUGUCUUUAUUAUGCCUCAACUCUUUUAUUUUUCACAAAGGUGACAUCUAUCACACACGAGCACCAUGUUCACGUUAUAGUCCUAGUCGCAGCACACAUGCGUACGCGCGGACAUGCAUGUGUGCGCGCGUGUGUUUUUUGGACACACGCCUCAUGUGGAACAUUUGCAAUGGAUUUUGUUUCCACAUAUAAAUAUUAUUUUGCUGAGGUUUUUCAAAAGAAGACUCAUUAUUAUUUUUAAAUGUAUUUAGUGGAUUGACAUUUGGUCGGUAGCAGAAGGUUUGCUGUUUUCAAACAUUACAGAUCCUCAUCAAAGUAGGUGCUCCACCAACAUUAAAAAAGUGAGAGAAUUAACCUCUGAAACCUAGCAUGGUUUAGUUAAACUUUCUCCUAUUCAUUAUAUGGCACUUUAAGAGAUAUCAGGAACCAAUAGUACAAUAGUUAUCGUCAAGGCAACAGUUAAAUUUGGUAACCCCAUCCAAGUGUGCCUUUAAAGAUUAUAUUGGAAUAUAUACACUUUAAAGAUCAUUGUAUCUUUUUUUUUUGACAAAAAUGAUCAUUGUAUUUGUUUUUUUUUUUAAGAAGAAGAAUCAUUGUAUCUGUUUGUUAUACUUUUAAAAAAAAAUAUAGAUCUACGACGAAAAAAAAUCUAGAAAUAGUUUUAAAUGAAAAGAUAUAAGAGUAACUUUUCAAAAAAUAUAUCAAUCAAUAGUGUAUAUAUAUAUAUAUAAAGUAAAGUUUUUUAUGCAACAUGUCACUUUCAAAUUUAUUCUCAAUAUUCUUAAAAAAAUCACUAAAUUAUUGAAUGUCAAAAUAAUUCAACAUAGCAUAUAAACCAAAAAAUAUUAAUUACAAUCGAGUCUAACAUUUUAUUUGGAUAUAUGUUAGUCUGGACUUAAAUUUAAAAUUAUAGGAUCCAUAUUCAAUAUCUAAAAUUAAGAAAUUCAAAAUCUUACAAAUUUUACGUCAUAAUCGUAGUCGCAGCGCACAUGCGUACGCAUGCGCGGGUGCGUGUUUUAUGGACACACAUCUCAUGUGAAACAUUUGCAGCGGAUUUUGUUUCCACACGUAAAUAUCUUUUGCUGAGGUUUUUCACACGGAAGAAGUAUAGAAUUAUUUUUAUUUCAUUCUAUUAUGCUCAACAUGAUUAUUUUAUUUCAUCAGAUUUCUACAACAACAGAUGUUGAACUCCCUACUUCAUGACCAAAUUUAGAAGGAGACAGUUUCAAUUUUAAUUUUGCGAAAGGGAGUGAUUUGAGCAUGGAACCUGCUCGUACUCCACCCUUAACUAAACUUAAUUUUUCUUCCUAGCAAACAAGAUUUUUUUGGAAGGGGAUGCAGAUUUUGACAUACUUAAAGCAAAAUAUAUUUAUGCAAGUACCUCCUCCAAGAAAGAUAGAUUGUCUUUCAAAAUGUAUUAAAUAAACACAUGAGUGGGGUUAUUGGUUUUGAACUUCAUUGUGCUCGUAGAAAUAAUGAGUUAUUGGCGAUUAGGCCGUGUAGAAAUCAUGCCUGUGACAAGAACAAUGAUUGUAAAUUUGUGGGAUCUUGUGGAAUUUAACUUGAAUGGCUUCUGUAAUAUGUAUUUGUAAUCCGCAAUGAGUUGAUUAAUAAUGAAAAUGCAUUUCAUGUUAAUGUCAAUAUAUAUUAAGUUGGAUGCACUGUCACUAUGUAUAAUUUUUAAAUAGUUUUUCAAUGUAGUUCCUAAAUUUGUGACGUUAAUGUCAUUGAAUAUUAUCAAAUUGAAUAGACAUUUAGAUUUUUUUAGUUUCAAAUAUCAUAUUAACAAACAAUUUUUUUUUAUAGAGAUCAAUGAUACAAAUUUAAAUUAAGAGAGUAAUGUUAAAAAUUGUCUUGAACAACCAAAGUCAUUUGAGUAUUAUUUUUGUAAAGUUCAGAACACACCAAGAUGAAAAAGAGAGAAAAUAUCACGAAGGAAGGAAAUGAAUGAAUAAAACCUGUUUCACGUAAAUAAAAUAUAUCUGCUUCAUCAUUCUUUUGAUAGAUUCUGAGUAAAAGAAGAACAAUUUGUUUGUUGGGGAAAUCCUUGGGAGGGAUUUGUAUUCUCUAUUUUCUUUUAUGUUUUGUACCCUCAUAAAAUUUUCAAUAUACCUCACACUGCGUCUAAAGGGAUUAAGUCUAAUGUCGGUUGUUAAUUUAUAAAGAUGUGAAUUUUAUUCUAAGGUAUUUAGGAAAAAUAUGUUUGGUUAACUUUAUAAUAUUCCUAGAACCAUGAAAAUAGGGAUUAUAAUAGGUAACUAUUUACGAAUUUAUUCCCAUCUCCAUGGGAACUUUAUUCCCACCAUUUUUCUUGGGAAAAUUUUUCUAUCCUAGGAACACUUUAUAUCCGGAAUAAAAUUUAGUAAACUUGUAACAAACAUAGGCAUAUAUAUUCCUAUCAUUUUAUUUUUGAAAAUCAACAAAUAUAACUUGAAACAAACACACCCUUAGUAUUUUUAGGCAAGUGCAUUAUACAUAUUUACUAACUACUAUUAAUAAAUGUAAUUUAGUAAAAGAAAUUUGAUGUGUAGACGAAGUGACAAAUACCAAAUCACACACACCGAAUCAUUUACUUAUUCUAUCUAUCACAUUACGUCUCUCAACACCCCCCCCCCCCCCCCCCAAUCCCCUCUAUUUCUUCCAAUUGUCCUUUCAUUUUUUUCUCCCAUUCCUUGCCCUCUAAACUCGCAAACAAUGCCUAAGGAUCUUGCUCUUUCCAUUCGUCGUCUACAAUUAGUUUCUGUCGUGUUAUAAUUUUUUUACAUUGCACUCGUUACAACAGCUUUGAUUUCAUAAGGUUUUCUAAGAGAUUUAAGCACUUUUUUUUCCAGAGAGACUUAAGAACUUUUAUGUAUAAGAUGUUAAUGUGUUGUGUUGGCAAAACCAUUGAGAUUAGAUUAGAUCAAAUUAAGAACCAUAUCAUCCUCUUAUAUUAUUAAAAUGAAAAUUCAAAUAAUAAUAACAUAAAAAACGUAACACACAUGUGUUUUAUUGCUGACAUAUCUCAUCUUAUUAAUUUAAAACAAACAUAGAAGUGGAUGAUUCAUAAGCUACCAAUCCUAGCCACUGCCACCAAACACACCCUUAAGCAUCAUAAUUGGUGCAGCAUCAAGAAGAGUAGUCUUUUGAAUUGUGGAAGUUGGUAAGUUGUUACCAAAUAACAAAGGACUAAUUACAUGUAUGCUAGGGUUUGAGCUACUAAAAGCAGCAUAAGCAAUAGCAUUUCCAUCACCAGAGUUAAAUUGAAAAUGCAAUAGUCCUAUUGGAAAAACCCAAACAUCACCAGGAUUAAGAAUUUUCACCAAAAGUUUUGUAGGUGUGAUGAAUCCAACAGUAAUUUGACCUUGAAUAACGAUUAGUAAUUCAGUUGCAUCAGGAUGAGUGUGCAUUGGUACACUUCCAUUUAUACCAAUAUCUAUUCUUGCUGCAGAUAACUUAUGUCCAUUGAGACCUGCUAAAUUACUGACAUUUACCGAGGUUAAUCCAACUUUAAAAGGGUUUGCUGUGUUUCCAGCAGCUGCUAAGCUAGAGUACAUGAAAUCAUCCGCUGUUACAAAUUUUUCUGAUUUGCAUGGAUAGCCUGAAGGGGUGUCUGAUGUAAGAAAUAAGUUUGCUACACAGAAAUCAUCAGAAUCAAUAGCAUUGGUGGUAAAUGAGAUUAGGGCAAAAAAGAAAAGAACAAUUUGGAUCAUCUUCAUCUUUGAAAUUUGUGUGUGGGAUGAGAGAAUAAUGAGAUUGGUUUGCUAUUUAUAAUGUAUUAAUAUUCAUACAAGGUGUGUGUUUAGAGCCUUAGCUUGCUUAGUAGCUGUAAAAUGUAAUAGCUAGUAAUAGUUUUCUUAAGGCAACGUAACCUUAGAGUCAUCUUGCAUGAAUGUAAGCUGUUCAGAAAUAAAUAAAUAAAGGCUUAAUUGCACUUUUGGAAAGAUAGGGGUCCAAAAGUGCAAUUAAGCCAUAAAUAAAUGCCUAUCUGUCUAUAUAACUAACUUAUACCAACCUAUCUAUGCACCUAUUUCUAUUUAUUUAUAACUAAUUUAAUAUGAGUUCAACAUAAUCUAAAUUUGUUUUGAAUUCUUUUAAUAAUGCUUUUACUGAUAUUCUUACGUAAGAAUAAAAUUAGAUUAUUAUGAUUUACUUAUACCAUACAUAUUUCUUUCAAGUAUUAAAUGCAUAUAAGUUUUCUUCUAAACAAAUUAACAUAUCUUACCCUAUCGUAUCUUGAAUUUUAAAAAUUUGACAUUUCUCUAUCGUUUCGCACCCACACUCGUACUCUGUAUCCAGAUUUCAUAGCUCUAAGUUUAGUUGUUGUGGAGUAUAUUUUAUCGGUAUGCAACCUAAAGCUCAAUGUAUCUAUCAUUUCAUUGACACUAUAAAUGGCAAACCAACCCCCUUAUAUUCUCUUAUUCCAAAUCGAAUUUUGAAAGAUGAGGAUCAUUUACAUUACUCUUUUCUAUUUUUCUCUUCUCUUAUCAUAUGCCUCUUAUGCUACUUCAGUCAAUGAUUUCUGUGUUGCAGACUUACAGCUUCCAAAUACCCCUUCAGGCUAUCCAUGCAAGUCAGAAACAAAUGUAACAGUGGAUGAUUUUUUAUUCUCCGACUUUGUACCUAGAAACACAAUAGACCCUUUUAAUGUUAGAUUAACCACUGCAUUCGUCACUAGUUUACCAGGUCUUAAUGGACUUGGUAUCUCCGCAGCAAGGGGGGACUUUGGCUUAAAUGGAACUGUUCCAAUGCAUUUUCAUCCUGAUGCAAAUGAAUUGCUUAUCGUAGUUAAAGGCCAGUUAACUGCUGGAUUUAUUACACCAACAAAAGUUGAUUUGAAAACUGUUAAACCUGGUGAUAGUUUAGUUAUUCCAAAAGGACUUUUACAUUUUGGAGUUAACACUGAUGUUGGAAAUGCUAUUGCUUCUGCUUUUUUCAGUAGCUCAAACCCUAAAAUGGAAAUACUUGAUUAUCUAUUAUUUGGCAACGAUUUAUCAACUUCAAUAAUCGCAAACCCAACUUUACUUGAUGUGUCACAAAUUAUUAAGCUUAAGGCUCAGUUUCGUGGCAGUGGCUAAGAUUUCUUAUGAAUCCACUUCUAUGUUUGCUCCAAAUUUAGUUAUGUCAACAAUAUGUAUGUGUUUGGUUUUUGUGUUUUUAUGUCAAUUUUCAUUUUAUUUAAUAAAGCAAGAGAGUAUAGUAUGGUUCCUAAUUUUUACAUUGUAUCAACGGUUUUUAUCUUUACCAACCAUUUGCAUGUCAUCAAGACUCGAUAUUAAGGAGCUAGGAUUUUUUCUUUUUAAACAAAAAGGGAGCAAAUGGAAGCCCAUUUGCUAACCCAUAGAUAGACUAAACGUAAAAAGUACAAGCAACUGGGGGCGUAAACCUGAUCCAGUGGAUUAGGCAUGCAUUUUAACCAGGAACAUGAAUUGGGAAUUUUUCGCCUAGUAAUAAUGUACCAUAAAUUCAAUGACUUGGCAUUGCGACAUUUAGGUAUGUUGUAUUAUUAUGUCCAGUACUUAUUGUUUGACAGAUUAAAAACACCCUUAGUAGCAUAAUCCACUGUUAACUGUAAUAAUUAGCCAUCAUGCAUGUAUUAAAUAUAUUCGACUUUUAUAUUUGUUGAUAGCGAUGUCAAAGUGGACCGCCAAAUUCGACCAAAGUUUUAGACUUUUUUGGAAGUUGCUUCUUCAUAGGGUUCCUAGCCACCAAAAUAUCUUUCGUUGUAGGUUUAUCCUUGAUUUGAGUGGCUUAUCAUGUGUGUUUUGUGGGGUAUUAGUGGAGUACGUUAGGUGAUCACUUUAUGUCAUUUGUGAUUUCGUUUUCAAGGUGUGGUAUAGUGUUUGUAGCUGGUUAGGUUGAGAAUUGGUUUUUUCUCUGAAUUUGGCAGGGCUUUUCACAGUUUUUUGGUCUAUAAGCGACAAGUCUAAGAUUUAGGUUUGAUUUUGGUCAAACAUUUUGUUUUGUAGUCCAUAUAGAAGGUUUGUAAUGACCUUAAUUUUUUUAGGAAGGCAACAGUGUUGGAACAAAAUUCAAUUUUUACAAUGUCUCUGAAGUUUUGAUGAUAACAAAGUAUUGAAGAACUAUUUUAUAUGCUAAUAUAUGUUUAAGUGUGCACGACCAUAGAUUAAAAUUCAUCAAGGUCUGAACAUGUAUGAGAGCAUCAGAAGCACAAGUAAAUUUGAAAACUUAGAUUAGAUCCUGAAGAAGCUUGACCUGACUCUUAAGGCUAUCAGACUCUGAAGGAUAGAAGACUCUGAGUCUUCUAUCCUUCAGAGGCAUAACAAAGUAAAUUUGAAAACUUAGAUUAGAUCCUGAAGAAGCUUGACCUGACUCCGAAGGUCAUCAGACUCUGAAGGAUAGAAGACUCUGAGGAUUUGCAAACACUCUGAAGGACAUGUCAUACUUUGUCUUCUUCUCAAGAUGUCCCUAUCAGACUCAGAUAGUACAGUUUUUCUUCUUCUGAAUCAUGUGCUAAGUCAAAUUCAAGGACAAAAGGAAUGAAACAGAUAAUUCUAUUUGCAGCAAUAGAUUUUGAAUGUCUUUUCAAAUGGUAUUAACCAUAUCAUGCAACAUUCCAACAUCUUGAUUUGAUUGCUUCUCAAGGACUCUUAAUACGCUGACACUUCUCCAACGUCUCUCAAAUCCUUCCUUAUAUAAGAAGUUAAAGACUUGAAACAUAACAAGACUCUGCAAUUUUAACUUGGGCCCUUACUUUGUCAAAUUUUGAAGUGCAUAAACACUUAAGAAUUUCUUACUAAGUUCAGAUCUUAGAAAAUUCUAAGAGUCAUACUAUGUUUUGAAGUUGAUUACACCUCUUAUGCUACUUCUGUCAAUGAUUUCUGUGUGGCAGAUUUACAGCUUCCAAACACUCCUUCAGGCUAUCCAUGCAAGUCAGAAACAAAUGUAACAGCAGAUGAUUUUGUGUUCUCUGGCUUUGUACCCGGAAGCACAAUAUUAGACCCUUUUAAUGUUACAUUAACCACUGCUUUUGUUACUAGUUUACCAGGUCUUAAUCGACUUGGUUUCUCUGCAGCAAAGGGAGACUUUGGUAUAAAUGGAACUGUUCCAAUGCACUUUCAUCCUGAUGCGACUGAAUUGCUUAUCAUAGUUGAAAGCCAAUUAACUGCUGGAUUUAUUACACCGGCAAAAGUUUAUUUGAAAAUUGUUAAACAUGGUGAUAUUGUAGUUUUUCCAAAAGGACUUUUGCAUUUUUUAGUUAACACUGGUGUUGGAAAAGCUGUUAUUUUUGCUGCUUUAAGUAGCACAAAUCCCACCAUGCAAAUACUUGAUUAUCUAUUAUUUGGCAACGAUUUAUCAACUUCAAUAAUUGCAAACACUACUUUACUUGAAGUGUCACAAAUUAUGAAGCUUAAGGCUCAGUUUGAUGGCCGUGGCUAAGAUUGCUUAUGAAUCCACUUCUAUGUUUGUUCCAAAUUUAGUUAUGUCGGCAAUAAACUUAUGUAUGUGUUUCGUUUUUUUGUUUUUAUGUCGAUUUUCAUUUUUUAAUAAAGCAAGAGAAAAGUAGGGUUCUUAAUUUCUUAUAUUAUAUAUCAACUGUUUUUAUUUUUACCAUCAAUUUAAUUUAAUUUGCACUAGAUUUAGACCCACCUGUUGCGCGUGCAUGAGUUUGUCAUGUCCUCUUUCUCUGACUCUUCCUAACUAAUUUCGACUUUUUGGGUAUCAUCUUCCUUUAAAUCCACUUCCUUACUUGUUGGAUGUGGUGGUGAGAUGGAGAAAAAGUUACUCUUGACAUGGUAGAAGAAGACACAAAACCAGCAACUGUAAAACUCUUCAGCCAUUAAGAAGAUUCUACAGUAAUAACAAAGACAAUUGAAAUGAAAUACUUUUAAUGGCUACCUAUGUUUAGCAGAAUGCAUUAUCAUAUGCUCAUGUGGUGGCAUAUAUGCAAUAUAUCAAUUAGCUUAAGAUAUUCAAAAUUUACUGCAACUGCAACAUAAGAUGUGAUUUUACUAAGCUCUUCUUGAUAUAGUAUGUAAAAAUGAUGCUAAUCACCAAUUUGAAUACCAGAAACAAGAUCUCUCCUGAAUAGGGUUGGGAAUAGGCCAGGCCGGCCUAAAGGGGCCUAUGGCCUGGCUUGUUUAAGCCUAGCCUAGCCUGUUUAUUAAAAAGACUAGGCUUAGGCUUUUUAGUGACUUUAAUAGUAAGUAGGCCUGUAAAUAGGCUUUCAGGUCAGGCCAGACAUUUAAAUAGGCCAGGACAGGUCAAAAAAAUAGGCCUAUGAAAGGCCAUAUGCCAGGCUCAGGCCUGCAAAUUUUUUCGUAGGCUAGGCUCAGGCCUAUUAAAGUCUGGCCUGGCCUGGCCUAUUCCCAACCCUACUCCUGAAUCAAAUAUAUAUUUGUUGAAGUCAAAUUGAACAAUUACAACUAGUCUGGAUAAAUGAAAUAAGUAACCAUGAGUGGGAAGAGGGAUUAUAAUGAACAUUGAACGAAACUUUUUUUAUUACAUACUUGAAAGCAGACUUGACGACGUUAUUGAAUAGAGGAGGGGGCGACUUUUUGAAAAAUCGAGAGGGUGUGAAUGUUUUUAAAGAAACUUUAGGGGAUAUCAAUAUAUUUCUCCUUUUUUACUAUUAUUUGUGUUUGAAUUAUUCUAUUGCAUUAAAUUGCAAAGAAAUAUAGUCCCUGAAAAAUGUAUUUGUACCAUAAUCUCAAAUUAUUAUGCACAAAAAAAAAAGUUAGAGAUCAAACCAUUGAGUACUUGGUUAAGAGACCUAAAUCCCUUAACAUUUGGAGCAAUUCAUCGUUGAUACAAUUAAUUUAAAGAAACUCUUGCUUACAUCCAUAGGAAUUUUGAUCCCCCUAUAUGUCACUACAUACAAUGAAUAAAUCAAACUUGAAGUUUUUCGUCAACUUGUUCUUGUUUUGCCUUGGUGGAAUUACCUCAUAUAAAAUUAAUAUUAAAAUUAUUAUAUACAUCAUAUAUAUACUUAUAUAGAGUGUGAGACUCGUAAACUUGCAUCAAACUACAUCAAAAAAACAACCAAAAAAAUAUAUCCAAAACAUCAAAAAACACGCUUCAAAUUGUAAAUGGAUGUGUCCCAAUUCUAGAAUUUGAACGCCAAAAACAUGCUUCAAAUUCUUAAAAUUUUGACAUAGUCACUUUUGGAAAAGCGAGUGCACGUGAGACAUGUGGAGAGGUGAAAAAUUCUCGAAAAGAAUUGAAUUAAAAAGAGGUUCAUAUUAGAACGCGAAAUAUAUAUAGGGUGGGGGAGAAGUGUAGGUAGGGGAUAAGGAAUUCACUUGUUUUCAAGCAUGUUAUUAAGAUGCUUGGAUCAUUUUAAAACAAGGGUCUAGCAAGCCAAACUAUUUAGCCAUACCAAAAUUGGCAUUUGGAAACAUUAAUUAAUAGAAAUAGAUACAUAGAUAGGUUGGUAUAAAUUAGUUACAUAGAUAGUACAUUCAUAGAAAUUAAGCAAGCUACAAGGCUAUAUGCACCUUGUAAGAAUAUUAACACUAUAAAUAGCAAAGCUAUCUAUUAUUCUCUUAUCCCACAUCCAAAAUAUUUAAAGAUGAAGAUGAUUCAAAUUAUUCUUUUCUUUUUAGCUCUUAUCUCAUAUACCUCAAAUGCUAUUGAUUCUGAUGAUUUCUGUGUAGCAGACUUAUCGUUUCCAGACACCCCUUCGGGCUAUCCAUGCAAGUCGGAAAACAAUGUAACAGCUGAUGAUUUUGUAUUCUCUGGCUUAAAUAUAGCUGCAAACACGUCGACAAACUCUUUUAAAGUUGCAUUUACCACUGUAAAAGUCGAUAAGAUACCAGGUCUCAAUGGACUUGGUAUCUCUGUAGCAAGAAUAGAUCUUGGCUUCAAUGGAAGUGUACCAAUGCACACUCAUCCUGGUGUAGGCGAAUUUAUAAUCGUCAUUCAAGGUCAAAUGACUGCUGGAUUUAUCACACCUAAAAAAGUUUUUAUGAAAACUCUUAAUCCUGGUGAUGUUUGGGUUUUUCCAACAGGACUUUUGCAUUUUAUUCUUAACACUGGUCCUGGAAAUGCUGUUGCUUAUUCUGCAUAUGCUAGCUCAAAUUUCAACACUCAUUUAACUGAUUUUUUGUUAUUUGGUAACAACUUAUCAACUUCCACGGUUCAAAAGACUACUUUUGUUGAUCCUGCACAAAUUAUGAAGCUUAAGGUUAAUUUUGGUGGUAGUGGCUAGGAUUGGUUGCUUAUGAAUCAUCCACUUCUAUCUUUGUUUUAAAUUAAUAAGUUAUGUCAGCAAUAAAAACACAUGUGUGUUAUGUUUUUAUGUUUUUAUUAUUUCAAUUUUCAUUUUAAUAAUACAAGAGGAUGGUAUGGUUCUUAAUUUCUUAUUAUUUCAAUAAAAACAUAACACACAUGUGUGUUAUAUUUUUAUGUUUUUAUUAUUUCAAUUUUCAUUUUAAUAAUACAAGAGGAUGGUAUGGUUCUUAAUUUCUUAUCUAAUCUCAAUGGUUUUCCCUACAUAAUACAUAGACAUAGUUGCAUACAUAUAUCCACCUAUAUAAGCAUAUAUUUAUUGAUUAUGAAUGUGACACUAAAAAGAUUUUGCAUCUCAUGUAGUAAUCUCAUUGUUAUUUUUAUUAAAUGGUCAAUGUUGAUAAUUAAUUAGUUUUUUCUCCUUUGUUCGAGUUUGAACUCAAGACUUCCAACUCCUUAUUGUUAGCUCAAACUAGUUGAGAUAUCCAACCCCUGGUAUAAUCAUCUCGUAUUAUAUAUCUUACAUCAUAAAUAAAUAAACAAAUAAAUAAAGGAAAAGAGAAAUGAUAUUUGUACAUCCACUUUAUAACAACUUUCUCUCUCAUACUCACAUUAUGUUUUUAUUCUCUCUCUUCCUUUUUCUCUCUCCAUUGUUUUUACCAAUGAAAAGUGAGAAAAAAUAAUUUGUACCAAAAGUUAUCUAAAAUGGUUGUUCAAAUAUCACUACUGAAAGGAAAAUUAUACAAAUGUGACACAGAAUUCUGUGACAGCAGGGACAUGCUGGGAAUCUAAUAAAUAAAUUACUAACAAAUUUAAGAUAUAUGGUUUACAUUGUUUAUAAGCAAAAUUAAUGUUUGGCGAAGUGGUUGAAUAUAAUUGUUAAGAACAAAUAUCAUAAUCUCCACAUAAAUAAUUAUAGGCUAAAAUAUGGUUUUGGUCCUUGCAAAUAUGCCUCGUUUUGGUUUUAGUCCCUGCAAAAAAAAAUUGUUGUUUUUGGUCCCUGCAAAUAUGUCUCAUUUUGGUUUUGGUCCCUGGCUCCACUUUUGUGAUGAUUUGCACACGUGGCACAUGAUGACUGAACCCAUUUAUUAGAGAAAUAGUCCCUGCAAAAUCUUUUGAUUUUGAAAAAGGUCCCUGCAGGGACUAUUUCCAAAAACAAAAUAUUUUACAGGGACCAAAAACAAUAAAAAAAAAUUUACAGGGACUAAAACCAAAACGAGGCAUAUUUGCAGGGACCAAAACCAUAUUUUAGCCAUAAUUAUAUUACACAUUUUAGAACGCAAAAUAGAUAUAAUCCUACAAUUCUUAUCCUCUGCUUGCCUACACAAAAUAAGGAUCCUUAAUUGCUUAUUUUUUUCCCUUAUUAAUCACUCAUUUUCCUAUUUUAUAGGAUGCAAAGUAUUACAAAAAACCAAUACGGUAAAAGAUGUACUCCAAUGAGUACAACUCAUAUGGUAAAAGGUUGCAUGGACAUUUGAUAUGUUAUUGCGAAUUUGAACUUGCAUUUCUCCACUACUUAGCAGUGUGUGUGAGUUUCGCCACUAAACUAUUUAAAAUAAAAUUAGACUCACUAAAAAAUGUCUAUCAUUUAAACAUGUAUUUUGUCAACUUAGUUAUUUAGCAUGACGCAUGCAUUUUACAUCUCUUAUUCCAGUAAGUGCCAAAAUUAAAGUGAACGGACUUAAAAUGAUAGGAGUAGCAUCUAAAAUAAAUAAAUAGAGACUGAUACAUAUGAUAUGACAGGAACCAAAAGCACUAUUAACUCUAAAUUAAAAUUUUAUAGAUCAGGCGACAACACUUCGUCCACAAACACGCUUGACGCUACAAUCGAUCAAAGAUCCUCUAGGACUGCUUGAAGAAAAAAAAAGGAUCAUCACUCCAAAAAUACAUUCCAAAGAGAGAGAUAGAUACAACUGGUGAAGGAGGGAGAAGGAUGGAAAGGAAUCAUCAGUAUAGAUAAUAGCGAAAUAGAUAAAAUCUUUUCGUCUGCUACAUGCUCUGAAAGAGAGAAUUUUUUAAAUUCCAAAAAGGACAACAUACAUAGCUAAACAAGGCUAAUUAAAGUUUAAAACACUAGAUAAAAAAAUAAAAAAAUAAUGUUACUAAUAAAUAUAUUUAUUAAAAUGCAAGAAAGGACACAUUUCUGAAACUACAUUCACUUCCUUAUCAACUUUGCUCUACCAAACCCCUUUGAGAUUUGAAGUCGAUCUGUUAUACCAAGAUGUGCCAUAAGAAGCCAUACAUGUGUUAAUAAUUCACCACCAUGCCUUAGAUGUUGAGCAUGAUGAAUUACCUGACAAUGGCAAGCAGCAUAAGCUAGCAUUUCAACCCAAACUUGAGUUAUAAACUUCCACAUCUCUUUUGUCUCCCAUUCUACAUCAUCAUUCCUUAUCUCCCUUACAUUUUUAGCCAACCUGAAUGCAUCAAAUAGUACAGAUUUGCUUCUGUCACCUUUCACCUUUGAAGGACUAACUUUAUCGAUAUCUCGGCUCACUUUGUGUAGUAUUCUACACACUUGCUUCUCAUCUUGUAUAGAAUGCCUAUCCUUCACAAAUUCAGUUGCCUCAGCACAUGUAUCUUGGAAUCUUAUCUCACCAAUUCCAUUAGGCAACAUAGAUGGUCUCAUAACAAGAAGAUAUAACAUAUACUCUGAUAAACAUUUGCUUGCUUCUUUAUAACUUAAAACCCUUCCCUUUUCCAAAACUUCUUCGUCUGAUUCAGAAUUAUAACAUAUAUUUGUUGCAAUAUGCCAUAAAAUAAUGCUUUGAUCAAAUUCUACCUCCACACUCCAUCUUAAUUUCCUUAUCAUUGUCUCCACCUUCUCCUCGUCCUCAAUUUGUGCCUUUAGCUCUGAUUUUAAUCUUUCCAAAACUUUGUCACCCCUAUGGUUACAAAAUCUUGUGAUAUUUUUCGCAAACUCAUCUUCUCCCAUGUUUAUCCCCUCUUUUAUUUUAUCCACAAAGUCUUCAAAGAUUAUUUCCUUCAGAUCAUCUGUAAUAGCAAUGUAAAAGUUAGUCAGAAAAAUUACCUUCAAUGGUCUUUUUAGAGAAUCGAUAAACUAACUACCUACCAACAAACUCUAACUAACUUCUAUAUUUCUAUUACCUUCGACGGUCUUUGUAUUUGUGUGCUUGUACUUCUGAUAGGACAGCCAAGCACCUGUAAUUAUUUUAGCAAGAGCACACUUUGCUGCUCUCUUUUUGAAUGCUUUUCCAGUACUAGAACCAAAUUUGAGUCUUAAAAACUUGCCAACGUUGCUGUGUCUUUCUUUUCUAGCCUUCGAUAUGCAAAAGCUUAUGAGGUUGAAUUGACCGGUGCUGCAUGACCAUCUCUUCUUAUACUUGACAGAUUGAAUUAAUGAAAUUACCUUACUACUUACCUUAUUCUUGUGCAUACUCAACCAAAGAAUUGUCCAGUCAGAAAACAGCACCAAAAUUACUGAAUAUAUUUCAAGGAUGAUAGCUCCAAUAAGCAACACACUCGUGAUGAACACAUCCAUUUUUGGAUAUUGAUUCUUCUCCAUGACAAAGAAAACAGAUAACACACUAAUAGUACAAGAUAAAGUGACAAAACGAAGAAAACAACCCACCAAAGAAUAAACAGUCGCGGCCUUUGUGUAGAACACAUCAUACAUAAAACCAAGCUCAAUUUCCAUAACUUCAAACCCUUUCUUUCCAUUUCCACUCAAUAGAGAAGAUCUGCUUUCCGAAACAUCUUGAAAACUCAAGAUGAGAUCUGCAAACAGAAGCUUAGAAAUCUUCAAGAAUUUGUGUGCUUUUCUUACAGUUAUUGCAGGACCAUAUAUGUCAUGAUCAGUUUCUGGCAAUGGGAUGUUGAUGUCACCUUGCGAAGGUGCGUGAGUAUGAUCAACACCAGUACCACCAGCUGCAGGAGUUUGAAUCAGGCCUUGUACAUCAACAUCAUACCCUUCAUAAGAAGCUGAAUUGUAUGCUUCCAUAUAUCUUGCAUAAUUAGGCCCUGAAUCGGGAUCAGGAAACAAAGACUCUUUGAAUUGUUGGCUACUUGCACACCACAAAACCCAAAUCCUUUCUCCGAUUUUGAUAAAACCGGCAAUGAAUAUCGGUACUGCCAAAAUGUUAAGAUCAGCAUUUGUCCAUGAUCUAAGAAAGGUUAAAAAUGCAACCACAACUUGUCCGAUAUAAGUAACCAAACGCCUACUCCAAAGUGCAUUGUCUUCCAUAGAGUAAGCAGUAAUAGUAUCAGAACCACCAAGGUGAAUGAGAAGAAGUGGACCCCACAAAGCGAUAAUGACAUACUUUGGUUCCACAAAAUCAUCUUUGUUUUCUCCCUCUUUACUUGAAAGAACACCAAGUGAGGUUGUUGCAAACCAAUCUGCAAACAAAUAAGCAGACCAUAGUAUGAUUCUAAGAUAGAUGCUUGUGUAGAACUUUCUCUUGUUUCCAAACAAUAAGAGAAUGCAUUGGAUGCCGAGGCUUAACACAACCAUAAAACGAAGAUUCCAAUUGCUCCAAAAUUUCUGUAAACUUUCUGGAAAAAUAUGCAUCAUGCCUCUCCUCUGUGUCAAAGCUAAACUGCUAAGAACUGAAAUCAAACAACCAACCAUACAUGAAAAGGUAGAGAUUAAUUUAAGCUUUCAUUUUGGAACUAUAUACAUUACCAAAAACUGUGUGCAAAAUGUAUGUAAUGAAGGUAAAAGGAAAAGGAAAAAAAAAAAGUAAAUAAGUUGAAGUCUUACUUGUAACCAGCAUCCUAGAUUAUUUGUUUUGUACUAUGUUGUCUUCAAAUUGCAUUGUACUGCUAAAAAGAGAAGGCUACUUAGGAAUUGACUUGAGAGUGUUUUCUUCUAUAAAUUGGUUAUCUUUUACUCAACUUUUACAUUAAUUUUUUUAAUGAAAACAACUUAAACAAGAAAGAUUGGCCAAAGGAGUCAUAGACUUAUAGCACAAUCAAAAUCACCAUCUUACCAUUAUAUUAGUUUUCAAAUGGUUCACAUAUAAAACAUAACACAUCUUACCAUUAUUAAUAUAUGUUAUAUAGGUUUACAAAAUACUUCGAUAUGCGAUGAGAAAAAAAAAAGACUUAGAAAGUAAACGAUUAGACUUUGAUUAAUCAAAAAUAUAAAUAAUUUCGUGUGAACAUUGUACACAUGCUCCUAAAAAUAUACUAGUAUUAGUCUAUGGUUAUCCAAUCUUCCAAGUUGUCUUGAGUUUUUUAAUUAGUAAUCCACAGCUCACUCAGAUAUGCAUUCUCAUAUUUAAUACAACUUUUUUUUUUUUUAACCUAUCGAAUCUACUAUGAGACUAAUCUUUGAGAAUUGGCAGCAAGACAUUUGAUAUUGUUUAUUUUAGAAGACUAUGCUAUUCUCAAAUGGCAGGACACUAGGAAUGAAACUAAAAGAUUCUUUUCUCACGGAGAGUCGUGUUAUUAUCAAUUCUACAAUUACCAUGCUGAUACACCUUGUUGAAUUUUUUUAACAAAGAUAACAAUCUCAAUUUUUGAAUUAAAUGCAUUUUUAAGGGGACUUGAAUGCAUUUUUAGUUUCUCUAUUUUACUCAAAUAUGUGUUAGUCCCUUCAUUUUUAAAAUUGCAUCUUUGUCCCCUCUACUUCACAACUUUUAAGAUCAUCCUUGUUAAAUUUUAAUUUUUUUUUCAUGUGGCAUCAUCACUUUAAACAUGAUGCCACAUUAUUUCUAUGUCAAAAAUAGAGAAGUCAAUUCAUUAGUAUGUCAUAAUGAUGAGGUCACAUCAACAAAAGUUGUUAAACAAGGGGAAAAAAUUUAAUUUUAACAUGUGAGGACUAAAGCUUUAAUUUAGACAAAAUAAGGGUUUCAAGAGUGAAUUUAACCAAUUCGGGUGUCUCAAAUGUUAACUUCAAAUUUUUCAUAUUUUUUACAGAUCUGAUUAAUUGAUCAAUCUAAACAAAUCUCGCCCGGAUUGAUCAAUAGGGAGAGAAUAAAAACUAAAAAGAAAAUUGGGAGCUUUUAAGAACCUUGGGUAAAAAUCUCAAGUAAAUUUGCAUUGUAAUUAUCAUAUACGGCUACAACUCCUGUUGCACCUUUCUUGUUUCUAACCCAGUUGCAUAUUAAUAUGGUGUGCUAUUUGAAUGAUCAUUUGCAUGAUAACUUAUAGGAUAACCAUAAACUUGCAAAGAAAAAUAGAUAUUGACAUGAAAACUAAAAUAAUAUAGAGAUAAAAUAAAAACAUAAUAUGAGUAUGAGAAAAUUGUCACAAAUUGAUUGUACAAAUAUGUUGCUAUUUAUUUUAUAUUUGCCAAAGUCAAUACCUGGUUCGUGGAAACAAACCAAGUACUUGGUAGAAAUCUCUUCACGUGAAACAGCAAGAUUCUAGAUCACCAGAGAAUAGAUCCGCUAAUAACUUAAGUCAAUGGAUUAUGGUAUAGAAAGAAAAAAAAAAACAUGUGUAUGAAUCAUCUCAAUUUUCUUAAAAUUGUUCACACAUAUUUAAAAAUUAAUAAACUAAAUUAAGUAACAGGAGGCACAUUUUACUUGAUAAUUUUAUAUUUGCACAAUAACAGCCAAAUGAUGUUUCAGCAAGAGAGGAAGGAUAGUGACUUACCAAUCUGGACUAGAAAAAUGUUGUCAGCCUGGAAAAUCCUUCCAAACUACUAUGUUGUCUAAGUUGACCCCAUGUAUGGUUUUGUCCAAAAAUUCACCAGAAAUUCAUUUCCAUAUUUACAGAAAGCAGUGAGUCGGUUUUUUCAAAGGGGACCGACAAAAUAUCAACAGAAGCAACUGACAGCAAGUGCUGAUUGCCUUCUGCGAGAAACACUUCUGUUUCCUUAAACGAGGAAAAGAGAACACCAUGGUUAACAUUGAGAUUUAUAUCGUUGGGAUUGUUUUCUGGACUGCAACUGCUGCACUAUCUGUGUUGGCGUUUAUAUCACUACGCUUGGAUUAUCUUCUCUCCGAAGGUGAAGAUAAAGUUGAGUGGAUAGAAAGAAAAUUGAAGUUACUAAAAGCUCUCUUAGAGGAUCAUAGUCAACUUGUGAAGAAACGAGAAGAAGCAGAAUCACGAGUCCGUUCUUUCUGGGAUAUAGAAAACUUGUCUGAAAUUCAUCAUCAGCUAAGUAUAGCUGAGAGUGAAUGGAUAGAAUCAACAAGAGAUGUUGUCAGUAAAGCAGAAGGUUGUGUCGCCGAGUACAAAAAACAAAGCCCGGGAUUGUUUUGGAGUGCUAUUACAGUUAUCUUUAGAUUGAUGACCAUUAAAGAUGUUCUCCGACAAAUAGAUGAUGUUGAAAAUGAGCUAACACUUAGUUUUGAAAAGAGAAAUGAAAAUGCCAAAUACAUCCAUAUGUCAAUGGAGAAAUCAAGGUCAAAGAGUAGAAGUCUUCUGGAUCAAUUUACAUUUGAAGAGGAGGAUAGAUCUGUAGCUAGAGAGGUCCACACAUCUGUAGCAGCUCAAAACCAAAUGCAGAAAAAGCCUUCAAUAAGUUUUGAUCAAUUGAUGAAUAAGAGCGUGGCAAUGGACCUAUUUUCUGGCAUGGAAGAGAGAUGGUCGAUAUACCUUCUACUUCCACUGCAUGCUUUCCUGAAGGAUUUGCGUCAGCUUCAGUUAAUAACAGAAACUGAAAAGCAAUGGAAAACAGUAGCUGGAGAAAUAAUUGAAGAUGCAGAGAUCUACAUUAGCAACUACUUAUGGUGGUUUGAAACUUUCGGCAUACUGAAGAAAUCCAAGAUGAACAUUCCAUUAAUUACAAAUCAUUUCAGAAAGGAUAUGAAGCUCAUUGUAACUGGGUUUGAGGAUCUUCUCAAGUACAACUUAACUUUCAUUGACAGAGCUGCAGAAAAGUCAACCUUCCACCCUAUUACAGAUGACAGAGAAAUUGCAUCAACCAUUGCAAGCAUUGAAAGCAAGCUGAGAGAUAUGGACACAAGCUCACAGCAAGUGGCUAAAGAGAACUUAAAGUGUGAUAAAUUGAAAGAAAUGCAUAAGCAGCUUAAGGAAGCAGAAAAAACAGAAGGGCGAAAUGCUUGUGUAAAGGAACUAAAGUCCAUCACUCAGAAGCUGGACAAUUUGCUGGACAAUUUUCAAGAAUGGAAUGUGACUGAACCUGUGGAAUAUCAAAGUGAGAUAGGAAAUGCUAUCAAUCUUCUUCAGAAUUUAAUAAAAACUUGCACCAUCAAAAGACAGGAGUCAACCAAAUUAGUUGGUUGUAAAAAAGAAGAGCAAGAUUUGGUCUCAAAGUUGACCUCAGGGAGUGGUAGUAAUCCUUCCGCACUUUCCAUUGUGGGGAUGAAAGGUGUGGGGAAGACAACUCUGGCAAAGGUAGUUUAUUACAACAAAGAUAUAGUCGAGCACUUCCCUGUCCGUGUCUGGGUGACAGUAACUGAAGGAGCAGUUAACAGAGCAAAAGCUCUGCUCAUGAAAAGGGAUGGGACUAAAGACCAGACAUUGUAUUUGAUCAAUGUAUGUGAUCAAUUGAAAGAGAAGCUAUGCCUUGUCGUUCUCGAUAAUGUCUCAAAAACAACAGAUUUAGAUAAGCUAUAUAGAUUAUUAUAUGGAUCUGGAUGGACAGAUGGGAGCAGGAUAGUGCUGACAACACGCUUUAAGGAUGUGGCUUUGCAUGCCAACAACAGUAGCACCCCUCACCAUAUUCGACUGCUAAUGAAGGAAGAGAGUUGGAUGUUAUUUCAGAAGGUGGCCAGCAGAAGGUUAGAACCAAAAGAGGAAAGUUUAGCAAAAAAGUUAGUGGGAAAAUGUGGGGGCUUACCAUUGGCCAUCUUAUCUCUUGGGUGUGUCAUAUCAGCGAAUGGUACAACUCCAACGAGUUUAUCAUGGGUGCUUGACCAAAUCAAUCAUGGCCAUUUCAAAAAAUAUUGGCUGCAACCAAAAGAUAACAGGGAAGAGUUGAGUAAUACUAUGAGGGACUGUCUCUAUUGCUUUACAAACUUCCCAUUAGACUAUGAAAUCCCAGCAAGGAGAUUAGUCAAUCUAUGGGUUGGAGAAGGAUUGGUACAACAAAACAACGGAAAGACACCUGAAGACACUGCAGAGAGUUAUCUAGAAGAGUUGAUAGACAGCAACAUGAUUCAAGUAGUGGCACUAAAGGGAAAUGGAAAGAUUAAGACAUGCCGCCUGCCGAGUAUGCUCAGAGAAAUCAUCUUGCAAAAUAACAACAGAACAAGCCAAAGUCGGUACUGGGGUACACAUUUAGAGCGGCGAAUUUCCUAUCAUUUUUACGAUCAUGGCCUUAAUGAAAACUCGGCCCAAGCUUUCAGCAAGAAAGGAACUCCCCUGUCUGUUCUUUUCUUUGACAAGCGAGAGGGAUGUAAACCAGGAGAACAUGUAGGUAAGAUCCUUUCAACGAGCAUUGCAGAUCAGCAGUUCCUAGAGACCAGAGUUCUUGAUCUUGAAUGCAUAUUCAGACCACAGUUGCCCAAGACUUUAAGUAAGCUCAAUAAUCUGAAGUAUCUUAGCUUAAGAUGGACUUACUUGGAGGAAUUACCCCCAUGCAUAUGCAAACUUCAGGAGCUGGAAACACUAGAUUUAAAGCAUACAUGUAUCAAUUACAUCCCUAGGUCAAUCUGGGAAUUGAAAAAACUGAAGAAAUUAUAUCUACCCCAAAAUUAUCGAAGUAAACUUGAGGGCAAGCCGAGGGGACACUUUAAUGAAAUUCUUCACAUACUAUGGGGUGUGUUCUUGUAUGGGAACUACCCUCUUCUUCAUUACCUUCACAAGCUGAAGAACCUUCAAAAAUUAAAAUUAGCUUUCCAAUUGAAAAUAUCAGAGCAAGAGACACUUGCAGAGAAGAUUGUGAAGCUUGAACAACUUCAUUCACUGACACUCAAAUCAGUGGAUGAAACUGGUGAUCCUAAAAAACUUAAAUGGAUUAAUAUGUCAAAGCUGGAUAAUCUCUCGUCCCUCCGUUUGUUUGGCAAAUUAGAAGACAAAAUUCGUACAAGCCUCCUUCCUAUAAAUCUCACUGAACUCACCUUGACAGCUUCACAGCUAUCAGUUGAUCCGAUGCCACAGUUGCAGAACCUGAAAAAGCUUAAGUCAUUGUGUUUUUAUGCUGACUCUUUUAUAGAGAAGAGGAUGGUUUGUACCUCAAGAGGCUUUGAACAACUUCAAGUGCUAAGAUUCUGGAAUUUGGAGAGGCUGGAAGAGUGGGAUGUUAAGGAAGGAGCAAUGCCUAGCCUCAUGGAAUUUGAAGCCCGGUCCUGCAUAAACUUCGCAUUUCCCAGUGGAUUGAAGCAUGUGAAGACUAUUCGAACGAUAAAGUUACGUAAAAUGAAUAAUCCAUUCGUGAAAAACAUGUGGUUAUAUCGUAAGAAGGCGUUAUUGGUUAAUGUUGAGAUUAAUUAAGCUUGAUGGAUACUCAUUCUGGAUCAAAGCCUUCGAUUUCAAAGAGGUAUGCUUUCCCACUUCUGUCUUAAGUCUCCUAGAAUGAUAGUUUACUUCACUUCACUGCAACUUGUGACAGGCUUGUUCUCAUUUUUGUUAUUUGAAUAUGCAUCAGAACAAGACAGACAAGAAAUGUCGAGGGUGUUGGUGAAUUAAUAUUUUCAGUUUUCAAAGUAGCUCCAUGUUCCUUCUCAAACUGUCAAAAUAAGUGAAGGCCUUUUAAGUUAUGACUUUAUGAAGGCUCUCCAUGUAAGAUGUUAUGUUAUAUUGUUAUUUUCACUUUGUUUUCUGUGUUGUCAGUAAUUGCAUUGUUGUUUUAGAACAAUGUUAAUUUACAUGUCUAAAUUGUUGUAAACAAUUGAUGGAACGAUUGUUGUGUUAUUGAAUAAUAGUGUGGGUAUUUCGCAAUGGUGUUUAUUUCUAAGACUAUUCCAUUGCAAACAAUUCAUUGAAGAGAAGGAAAACAGUCUUGUUAAACUUUAAAGUAAGUGAAGGUUUAUCAACCCUCGUUUAAUUUUAAGUUUAUCAUGACCUUAAGCCAUUAGAAUUCAUAGGUAAAUAAAUCCUUGCUCACUUACUUCAGAGACAAUUUUGUUUCAAAAGUGUUUUAUUCCAAACAAAACCGAGAGGAUUCUAUCAUUUUCUGUUGUUACAUUUCAUGCUCUUGAAAUUACUAGAGGAAUAAAGAAAAAGUCUGAUUGCAUUGUUUUUAAGGAAAUGAUGUAAUAGUUACAAUUACUAGCAGCAAAUCUUAAUGCUAUGUUUGUUUGAACAUUUUAAAGGAGUUAUUAAGGGGAAGGAAUGGAACGAAGGUUAAUUACUCACACCAUCUUGUUAUCUACAUAAACCAAUCACUAAUCAUCUAUAUCAUAUCUGUAGUAUACUAUAUAUAAAGGAAAUAUCAAGUUUUGGUAUAGCCAUUUUUUACAAAUUGUAACUUUCAAUAUAUAACGCUUCAAACUUAAAAGAGGAACGUCAACAACACUGAGUUGUUAGUCAUAGUCAAGAAUUGGAUAAGAUCUGCAAUAUAUCUGAGUGAGAGACCGAUAGCUUAACAAGAAUUGUUUUUUAAAUAAAAGAGUUCAAAGCAGUGUACCAAAAAAAAAAAGGCAUUUCAUUAAUAGAUUAAUCAAAGGACCAAUUCAUUAAUUGAUGAGCCACUUGAUUCGCUUAUUUCCUAACAAACCUCAUCUCAAGAUUGGGAAACCUAACUAUAAUUCUUUUACAAUCAUCUACAUACAAUAGCUCCUAAUUCCAUAAUGUUAGAACUAGGGGAAUGGAUAAGAUCUACAACUGUUUUGCAAUCUGUUUCAGUGGUACGUCAUCCUAGUAGGCCCUGAGAUAGCCACUGCGGCGCAACUAAUAAACCGAAGUCUUCACCAAUAGGAAUCAAAAAGGCAUCGGGGAAUAGAGUACAUAUGUACAGGUUGAAAUAUAGAGCACUAUAUUUUGGUGCUUGUUUUUACUAUACAUCUUUUUUUAUUUCUAAUGAAUUUUCAUUUCAGAAUUAAAGUUUAUGCACAUUUACACUCGUUCUGACUCGAUGGACCAAAACUCAAUAUCAUAGAACCACAAAAAGAAAUUUUCAUUUUUCACGUCCAUGUCGAUAUUCGAUCUAUGUUCUUAUUCAUCUACCAGAUAACAUAAUAUGGCGGUAAGCAAGGGUUACUCAUUUAAUGCAAUCCCAAUAUGGUGCAGAAAAGGAAUUCGAUAAUUUUCUUAAAAAAGAAAAUGCAAAUGCACCUUGAGGCUUAGACCUCAUUGAUUUAAGAAAAUAUUUUCUGAUUUUUUUUUCUAUUUGUAACUAAUAAUUAUAGAAUUAACGCCUUGUUUGCAUCCAUUUUCUGUUUUCACCGUUUCCUAUAUGAAUCUCAGAAAACAGGGAAAAAAAUGAAAUAAUAAGGUGGAACGCUUUAUUUAAUUCUGAAGACAAUAUCAUAUUUCAGGCCCUUAUCCAACCAGUAACAUUUUCAAUAAUGCAAAGCUAAUACAAUUUUAAAAUUUUAAAUGAAUUUGGCAUACUGUUAUCUGAGUAGAGCACAACUCUUCCUUUAAAGCCUCGACUUCGAUUUUUGCGAUUCCUUAGACCAGUCUGGAGGAAGUAUUUUGUACUCUUGGACUUGCUCUGACUCCUUGCUUUCAUCUUCGCCAAGAAUGUCCUUAGAGAAUGCAUUUGGAUUGGCUUUUAUGCAACUCUGCAGAGCAAUAAAUGGAUUUACACAGUCCGAGCCCUGCAAAAUUGGAGCAAUAUCACAUUUCAACACUUGAUGAGAAUAUAAAUACAAUACCGGAAAAUAAAAUUAAAAGUGUUGCUACAUGAUUACUAAUCAUACUGAUGUUGCAACAGUAAGAUUCAUGUGCCAUUCUGUAGAAGAGCCAAACAACACAACAAUUGGAAGGGGAAAAAAUGACCACAACUUCCGAGUUGUUAGAUCUGUUCCAAGCCAUUUGCUUCAAAAAUGACAGGUACUAAAAAAUUUGACAAGUUUUAUCCAAAGACUCUGAAAGAAUCAGUAGAAAGACUGACAACAAAAUUGUGAAAAAAUUGAAUACAUAAUCUAGGGUUAUUUUUUAAUUGCAGUUUUAAAAACUGUAUUUCCAUUAAAAUUAAAACUUGUUUUCAAAACAAUUUUUCUAUUUAAUAAGAACCAAAAAACAAAAACAACCUAGAAUUGUUUUGUUUACACAUUUUAUUUGGUUGUGUUUUCUAGUCUGCCAGCAGCAGAUAACCUCCACCAUUACCACUCAGCAUCUGCUGCUGCCAAAUGCCCUCUAGUCUACCACCGCCAUUGACCCCUGCAUCCUUCUUUUUCUAAACAAAUUCUUGAAACAAAUUUUCCAGACAUGUUUUUUCUGUUUGCUCACCUCUGAAAUCAUUUUUCAAAUUAAUCUUAUCAAAUAGAAUAUUUUUGUUCCGAAAAGAAGUUUCUCAAAAUUAUUUAUAAAACCAUUUUCAAAAAAUAGAAAUAAGAACUCAAGCAAACAGGCCUCUUUGUUGCAAGGCUCCUAGGAUGUAAAUAACGUGUAACCAAAUUCAGUCCGCAGCCGUGACUGAGACUGUGAAAUCAAGAUUUUUUGAUAUAAUUACGGUUGCAAUUAUGGUUGCAUCAGCGGUAUUUGACAAUAAUUUUCCGUAAUAUUACGAACUGCAACUGAAACUUAAAACCUUGGGUGUAACCAAUAGUUGAAAAAACACUAUUAUAAUUAGGGUUUGGCCUAACUCAAUCUUACAAAACAGGCUUGUAAGGUGGAGGAUUGCCCUCACUUAUAAACCCAUGUUCAGUUCUAUAUCUUUUCCAAUGUGGGACUCUUAACAAAGCUUACGAUAACAGUGUUUCAAUUCAUUAGUCUCGCAACAAAUUGAUUAUGUAGAUUGUAGAGUUUUCAACAACCAACGGCCAAAUCAGUUGCACAUCACACUUCUACUGUACUACAUUGUACUGUAUCUAUCUCUUCUUUCAGGAAUCAUAAACUCAAACUCUAAAAUAAUGAGGAAAUUCAAUGACACUGUAAGAAUAAAACAAAUUAUGAAGAAAAACAUUAGACACACCUUUUCUUCAGAAGUGCUCUUGAGAAAACAAAGGAAAGCCUCUGAGAAUUGAAACCCACAAGGACCACUUCUUAAGUCAGCAAUACAAGGACAUUCAAGAGCUUUCUGAGCCAUUUCCUCAACAUUCUAAAAAAAUUAAUCGAAUUCCAAUUUUUCAUUGAUUUGUUCAUUCACCCAACUCGCCAAAGUUGAUUUUGAUCAUUAAAAUGUAGACAAACAAAACAGUAAACUACCAAAUUCGUCCCUGAAUUUGUACAGAGCUCUCAAACAAGUCCCUCAGAUUAUGAAUAUUUCAAAACAUCAUUGACUCUAUCAAAUUUUACUCAUAUUAGUUAGUCCCUCUGAGAGUCGGGAACUAAAUUGAUAGAAAGCUGUUACAUAUAGGGACGUAAUUGAUAUUAUGCGGUUAAAAUAUAGAGACCAAACCGACAAUUUAAUAGAGUCGGGGACUUUUUUGAAACAUUCAUAAUUCCAGGACUUAUUUGACAGUGGCGUACAACGUUAAGUACUAAUUUGAUGGUUUAGUUGCAAACAAACCUCAGUGUUUUGGCUUCCAUAAGCUGCAGCUUCUGAAAUAAAUGAACAGAAACAAAAUUGAAGUGAGAUUUCAGCUAGACAUUAACACAAACAGUUGGAGUGCAUGAAAAUGAAACGUGAAAAAAUAAAGAAGAUGAACCUGCGAUGACAGAUUCCAAGGAAGUGGAAUCAGAGGAACUGGAAUUUGAUACAACUGCGGUGGUGGUGGUGGUGGUGGUUUGUGGCUGUGCUUCCGCGCUUUCAGCUUGACCCAUCUUCUUGAUUAUUGUACUUGUUGAAUAAUCAAAGAUUCAAAUAUCAAAACCCAAUUCUUCUUCUUAUAGUUUAUUCCAUGACCCUCUUUUUUUUUUUUGGUCAAGUCCUAAACUCCUUUUUCUUCAACCAAACAAAAAAGUUUAGAGUUUUGCUGUUUCCACAUAUAGUAUGGCUGUGCCACACCAGUAAUUUACGCAAAUACCCUCUCGGCAGUUAACUGCCGAGGUUUUUAAGAAACCGGCGGCAGUUAACUACCGAGGAAUUCCUCGGUAGUUAACUGCCGAGGAAAAUGUUUCAUCCGAUGAAACAGCUACCUGCUCCCCCUACACACUAUUUUUCAUCACCUUCAUUUCCAACCUCAUUUCAAUCCCAAAAUCCAUUUUUUCUAUAAUCAAUUUUUGAUCCAAAAUCAUUCAAGCAUCAAGCAUAGGAGGUAUCAACACACUAUUGACGUAAAAAAACAGGUAUUGUGCGUUUUAUUUGAGUCAUUUUUUGGGUGUUUUAGGGGUAUCUACGUCAGUUACGUAGAACCCUGUCAUGGAAAUCCUCGGCAGUUAACUGCCGAGGAAAACUUCGGUUGUUUAGUGCCGAGGAAAACCUCGGUAGCUAGGUACCGAGGAACUCUUGGUGAAAAUUUUCAUCACGAAAAAAUGGCAGCCACUGCCAAAUUUUCAAAAAAAAAUUUCUUUUGUUUUUUUUGUUUUGAUUCAUUAUGGCAUUGAUGUUUAUGCAUUACUUAGUUGUUAAUUCAUAUUUAUGUGUUGUUUAAUUAUAGUAAUGGUAAAGAAUGCGAAAGAUGUUCCGGGAGAGACAAAAGAAAAUUUUGUCGAAAAUUCCGGAGAUGUCAAACCGCCUAAUUUUGAAGCGAAAACAAACAUAGAUGAAGCUUCCGUCCAUGUUGAAGCUUCAAAGUAUGUUGGCGGCUCCGGUGUACUCCCACUUCAACCCCACGAGGUCGACACGGCUAAGUUUUUUUCAGACGACGUUAAGUCGAAAAAUAGAGAUGAAUUGCUUGAGUGGGUGCGCCGACAAGCAAAUAAGGCGGGAUUUACCAUUGUCACACAAAGAUCAAGCUUGAUCAAUCCAAUGUUCCAGCUAGUGUGUGAAAGGAGUGGAAGUCACAUAGUUCCAAAAAAAAAACCGAAGCAUGCGAACACGGGCUCAAGAAAAUGCGGUUGCUUAUUCAUGAUUAGUGGAUAUCAAAGUAAGCAAACAAAGGAAUGGGGAUUGAACAUUCUUAAUGGAGUUCACAACCAUCCCAUGGAGCCGGCUUUAGAAGGACACAUUCUUGCCGGUAGAUUAAAGGAGGACGACAAGAAGAUCGUACGUGACUUGACCAAGAGCAAGAUGCUUCCAAGAAAUAUUUUGAUACACUUGAAGAACCAGAGACCACAUUGCAUGACAAAUGUGAAGCAAGUGUACAAUGAACGUCAACAAAUAUGGAAGGCAAAUAGGGGUGACAAGAAGCCGUUGCAAUUUCUAAUCUCGAAGUUGGAGGAGCACAACUAUACUUAUUACUCAAGAACACAACUUGAAAGUAAUACUAUUGAAGAUAUUUUUUGGGCUCAUCCAACAUCCAUUAAAUUGUUUAACAAUUUUCCAACGGUUUUGGUUAUGGACUCCACGUACAAGACCAACAUGUAUAGGAUGCCAAUGUUUGAGGUAGUUGGGGUGACUUCAACCGAUUUGACAUAUUCGGUUGGGUUUGGAUUUAUGACACAUGAGAAAGAAGAAAACUUUGCUUGGGUUUUAACAAUGUUGCGUAAACUUCUUUCGUCAAAGAUGAAUAUGCCUAAGGUGAUUGUUACCGAUAGGGAUAUGUCUUUGAUGAAAGCGGUUGCACAUGUUUUUCCGGAAAGUUAUGCAUUGAAUUGUUUUUUUCAUGUGCAAGCUAAUGUUAAACAAAGGUGUGUCUUGAAUUGUAAAUAUCCUUUGGGCUUUAAAAAGGAUGGGAAAGAGGUGAGCAAUCGGGAUGUGGUGAAGAAGAUAAUGAACGCAUGGAAAGCUAUGGUUGAAUCUCCCAAUCAACAAUUAUAUGCAAAUGCAUUAGUGGAGUUCAAAGAUUCAUGUAGUGAUUUCCCAAUUUUUGUAGAUUAUGCCAUGACCACCUUGGAUGAAGUGAAGGACAAAAUUGUGAGGGCAUGGACAGACCAUGUGUUGCAUCUUGGUUGCAGGACCACAAACAAGGUCGAAUCGGCCCAUGCUUUGUUGAAGAAAUACUUGGACAAUAGUGUGGGUGAUUUGGGUACUUGUUGGGAGAAAAUACAUCACAUGUUGUUGCUCCAGUUGACCGCUAUACAAACAUCCUUUGGUCAAAAUGUUUGCGUGUUGGAACAUAGAUUCAAAGAUGUCACUUUGUACUCGGGGUUAGGUGGUCAUGUGUCUAGAAAUGCUUUGGACAACAUUGCUUUGGAAGAAAAACGUUGUAGGGAAACAUUGUGCAUGGACAAUGACAUUUGUGGUUGUGUUCAAAGGACAUCUUAUGGACUACCAUGUGCAUGUGAAAUUGCUACAAAACUCCUUCAAGAGAAGCCAAUUUUAUUGGAUGAGAUAUACCACCAUUGGCUUCGGUUAUCUAUGGGUGAACAAAGUAAUGAAGAUGCUUUUUGUGUCGAGGUUGAGUUGAAGGCUAUUGUAGAGCGUCUAAAGAAACUCCCUUUCCAAAUGAAGCUUGAGGUCAAAGAGGGUUUGCGGCAAUUGGCAUUUCCUGAAACCACCUUGAUGUCUCCACCACCACGAAAAGUACCAACCAAGGGAGCAAAGAAAAAAGUCGACAUUGCGAGGUCUAAAGGAAAAAUUACAUCGACUAGUCGGAUCCCUUCUUCUUGGGAGGUUGUUGAUUCCCAAAAUCCGGAUAGCCAACCGUCACCAUCACCAACUACAUCAUCAUAUAAAAGGAAAAAAGGUGCUCGUCUUGGUAAAACAUCACUUUCCCCACUUCCACCACCUACUCGGUAUCCAAAGCCUAAAGCUAUCCCGGUUAUGCGUCCUAUUGAUUAUAUGCCACGCUUCAUGCUUCCAUUUAUUGAAAAAGUGGUGGAUGUUAUCGGCGAUGGACAUUGCGGAUUCCGGGCUAUAGCGGAGUUCAUGGGCUUGACCGAAAAAAAUCAUCUCAUGAUCCGUACACAUCUUAUCCAAGAGUUGAUGGAUCAUAGAGAUGAUUAUGUUGAAGUAUUUGCGGGUGAGGAUCGUUAUAACUACAUUUUAAACGGAUUACAUCCUCCCGCAAAUACAAAAACUUGUGCACAUCUUGUUGAUAAGUGGUUGACAUUUCCGGACAUGGGACACAUUGUUGCUAAUUAUUACAAAAUGUGUGUGGUUGUGUUGACAAAUCUUGAAGUUGGAAAAUCGGAAUCGUUUUUCCCACUAAGAGGGCCACCACCGCCGGGUAAUCAAAAAACUCCCAUCUUGUGCCUUGGGGCAAUUCCAAAUCAUUUUGUGCUUAUUUCCUUGAAGAAUGGUUGUCCACUACCUCCAUCAUCUACGGAGUGGCACAAUCACAAGAAAGAAGAUGCGGUGACUUGGGAAGAUGAGUAUUUGGAUCGACAUGACUUGUUCCGAAAGCUCAUGGCUAUUGAAAGUGGAAACAAACCGUGCAAACCACAAAAGGAGUCAAACAAAGCGGCGCCUAUUUUGUUGGACACUCCCGAAAAACCAAAGCAACAAUUUGAAGUUAUUGCGGAAGAUGAGGAAGAUUCUAUGUCACUUGAUCUUCUCCAAUCACUUGGUUUUUAAUGAGUGAUUUUUUUGUCGGUGUUAGUUCUUUUUUUAUGGUAGAAAUUACACCGAUGUAUUUUUUUGGGUCGAAAUUGUAACGCCAAUUUUUUGGUGGCCAAUAUAUAACUAACAUUAUGUAAUUUAUAUUGAUAUAUAUAUAUAUAUAUAUAUAUAUAUAUAUAUAUAUAUAUAUAUAUAUAUAUGAUAAUAUGAUUUUUAUGUGGAGAAAAUAAUGCAAUACUAAUUUAUAGCUUUUUAAUGUUUUCCGCAUUUCAUUUAUUCGUUAUUACAUUCCAUUUAAUUUUGUUCUAAUAUAUGAUUCUUUUGUUACAAAUUUUUUCAAGUGAGACAUGUCUGAGGUUGCACAAAUUGAAGGGCGGGUUAGGUACUCCGCGUUUAAAAAGACGGUUAAGGUUAUGAUAACGCCGACGGACUCUCUUGACAAUUUGAAAGCACAACUUAACACUUAUUUUGAGCAUCUUGGUGAAAAUCAAUAUACACGUCACUUGUUUGGUCAAAUGCCAUGCAUAGACCUAGGAGAAGAUAGAGAUGAAUACGCAUGGAAAACGGCAAGCUAUAUGCCUUUGCUUAUUCGCGACGACGGCAACGUCGGAUUUAUGUUUCGGAAUAUGGUGGAAGACAAUAUAUUAUAUAUGUAUGUUCGUUCCAUAUGUAAUUGCAUUGAAUGUAAGUAGGGAUUUAAUUUAAUGAUGUGUAAUGAGUAGUUUAAUUAUGGACACUUUGUAAUGUUUUGAUGAAUUUCAAACGUCUAUUUAAUUUUAACCAAAUGUCGGUUUAAUUUAAUUAUGAACAAUUGUAAAAGAUAUUGUAUUUAUCUUCAUUAUGUCCGAGUUUCAAUCAUACAUAUGAAUUAUAUUACCUUUGGAAAUGCUCUGGUUUAAUUACAGGUAAAAACUGGCCGAAAAAUGGCUUGGAAAUACUUAGAAUUAUGCAGAACCUGCUGUCUGCAUAAUCAAAUUUCCUCGGCAGUUAACUCCCGAGGUUUUCCUCGGCAGUUAACUGCCGCCGGUUUCCUAAAAACCUCGGUAGCAAACUGCCGAAGGGUAUUUUGGUAUUUUACUCGUGUGGCACAGCCAAACAACAUGUGGGAACAGCAAUACUCAAAAGUUUAUUCUUAGGAGUCACAAAAAAGUAAGUAAGUUUAUUCUUAGGAGUCACAAAAUAGUUUAUUCUUUAACCCUACAAUAAUUGGGAUCCAUUAAUUGUUCCAUCAGCAUUUCGUUAGAGAAUUAAUAGUAAUGAGUAAUUUUGAUAACGGACAUAAAAUAUGAGGAUUUUAAAAACAUAUAAUAAAAUGUAUGGAUUAUUCUUCAAAGGGGCACAAAAUGUAAGGACUAAAAACAUAUAUAACCUUUUUUUUAUAGAGUAACUUUUCUUUAUAGCUAUAUUGAGUAAUUUUUUUGUUGAAUAAAGAUCCUCUCUAUUUCUUGAAAUAAAUGGUAGUUUUCAUUACUACUGUUUUGGGCAAGGUGUAAAAAAAAAAAUUAUAUAAAUGUACAUUUUUUUAAAAUUGAAGACAUUAAUUAGAAAUUUAUACAUCAAAAUUAUAGUGAUGGAGAUGUCCAUUUCUUUUAAGAAAUGAAGAGGAUCUCAACUCUUUUUUGUUCGUCUCUUAGAAUAUUAAACUAAAAUCAUUAUAUGGUUGACGAGAAAAUUUUCGACUAAUCAAUCAUAUUUUGAAUUGUUAUACGAGAAAAUUUUUGUAUGAUCCUUUCUUUUCAUGUUAUUUUCUAUGAGAAUUGUUUAAUGAUAAUAAAAUUUCAAUGAAUUUUUAAAAUAUAACAUUAAAUAAGAUGAAAAUAGUUAGAAUAAAAAUAGAUUUUUUUCGUUCCCGUGAGCAUAACUCAGUUGGCAGGGACAUGCAUUAUUAUAUGCAGGGGUCGGGCUUCCAACUCCAAACACCCCACUUAUUCACCUUAAAAAAGGUGAAUUCUAAUCAUUAGGUUACUUAGCUUGACAAAAAAAAAAAUCGAUUUUUUUCACCUAUAAUAAGUCUAGAAAGAGUACCCAAUUAUUUACUUGUCGAAAUUUGAGUGAACAUAAGUAUAAAUCUUACAUUGACUAUGCAUAAUAAUUUUUUUGUUGAACUUGUAUGUACAUGUUUAGAUUGACAAUAAAUUUAUUGGAAUUACACUAUAAUUGUGUUUUUGGCAAAAACUAUUGUUGAAAUUCAAAAAAUUUAUAUAAAAAUAAAUAGUGGUCACUUAGGUAUUUUAUGAUAAUUCGGUUGAAAGUGAAGAAUUUAUCCUAUGUAUCUCAUGGGUUAUUCGUCAAAGAUUACACAAUUUUAGUCUAAGGAGCGGGAUGUGAGAAUCUUAGAAAUAUUUUUUGGAUAAAUUGGGAUGCAGUUUGUAUGGAUAAGGAGGUUACAGGUUUGAGGAUAAAGAAACUUCGUGAGUUCAAUAUUGCUUUAUUAGGUAAGUGGUAUUGGAGAUUGUCUGUUGGGAAGGAAAGUAUGUGGUAUAAAUUGUUGAUGGCCAAAUAUGGCGACCCUAGGGGGCGGUUGAUUGAGGGUGGAAGGGAGAGGUCAGUUUGAUGGAUCUUUGUAGCGGUACGUUGAUGAGGUGAUGGAUAGGUGGUUUGAUGAUAACUUAAGGAAUUGGUUGCGAAUGGUUUAGAUACUUAUUUUUGGAUUGAUUUAUGGUUAGACGGAGUCCAUAUGAGUAUUCGCUUUCCCCGGCUUAGUCUUUAAAAUACCUAAGUGACCAACAUAUCACUUAAUAAUUUAGUCUAAGGAGCGCUCAUCAAAGACUAAAUUUAUCUUGUGUAAUUUAGUCUAAUUUAACUGAUUAUUGCAACUAACUAUUUUACAUCUAAUAAUAACUUGUGGCUAUUGCAUGAAUCCUUCAAGAUUUGUAAGAUAUUCGAUGCUCCAUGCUCUUGAUACUGACUAAUGAUUUAGCAUUGUCAUCCAAGUAAAAACCUUCAAAGAGACUUUAGUUGGACAUCAUAGCUUAAUUGCAUGUUAUUAAUUGUGCAUAGACGGAUUAGUUUGUUGAACGUCAGGCUUACAUGCAUGCAGCAUGCACCUAAUUAUGUUGGUUUGAUUCAUGAUGAAACUACGUAUGCACAUAUAACAUGCAAUCACGGUGAGAAGUUAAAAGCUAGAAAUAGUAGCUUUUGAUUUUCACGGUGAGAAGGCAUGCAAUCAUGCGGUGGCGAUGAGAAAACAUGUAUCAAAACGUGUGCUUAAAUUUUGAUCAACAACCAAAAAAGCAAUCGAUUUAACUAGUAAAAAAAAUGAAAUAUAUUUAUGGAUAGAAAAAGAAUGAAGUACUUAUUUCGUGUUAUAGUGACUAAUUCUUUUUAAAAAGAAAAGACUUGUUAUAUAAGCAAAAAGGUUCAAUUUAAAGUAAGAAAGUCUCUUUUAAUUAAAGUUUAUUUUUGACUUCACACUCUUGGAUCGGCCUCAAAAUAUUUGUUUUUCUUAUUUCAUAAUUGAAUCCUUCAUUCUAUCCUAUGUUUGUUUGUAAUGAUGGUGUGGCUUUCCUGCACCUAAUUUAGUAGUUUGUCUUGGAACCUAGCUAGUCCCUGUUUAUUUGUUAUUGAAAAGUAGUACAUCCAUUUUGUAAAUUAAACAAUGUGACACCUAAAAAAUUCUUGUGAUUGAAAAGUAACUGGAGAAUAAAAGUAGUUUUAAUAUGAAAGAAAAAAAACAAAUAGAAAAGACACAGUAUGAGUUAAAAUAAGGAGAUGGAGAAGGGACGCCACGCUUAGCUUGCUUACCAUUAAAUAUUUGGAAAAUAAAGAUUAAAAUUUUAAAUUCAGACUAAUAAUGUUAAUUAAUAUUAAAAUAUAGUAUAAGACAAAAAUACUUGGUAUAAGAUUGCUUUGGAUAUCCUUUGAGUUUUUCAACAAAGCUAGAGGAAAUUACAGCAGUAAGUUCCGUGAAGGGAUCAUGAAUAUGCAAAUCAACGUUAUUGAUUUUUUUUCCUGAUGUGUUUGUUUUCUUUCUUAUCAGUUUGUCCUCUUGCAAUUUUUUUUAUACGAAUACUUAAUUAAGAGUAAAAGAGUGUUAUUAUUUAUAUAUAAUAUAAUCAUGUUAGGUUAUUGUUUUUUAUGCUAAAUCACUUUUUUUUUUGUCUUGAGUGUAAAAAAGUAUGAAAUUAGAUUCCAGCUUUGGUUUCUGUAUAUUGUUGUCUUUACAACUAUCAAUUGAAUUGUAUUUAUAUGACUAUACCAAAUCGUAUUUACAUUGAGCUCAAUCAUUCUUUUUUAGUGUUCAAUAUGUAUAUCGAGAAUGAUGGACUUGUGUAAGAGAUACGGAUAAUAUUAUAGUUACACAUACGUGUUCCUCCUUGAGGUUUCAGGUUCAAUUCUCUCUUGUGUCAAUUUAGGUGGGCUAAUUUAGCUUCUUCAAAAAAAUAUUAUAGUUACACAUGACACUCUCCUUCUUGAGAGAAAUGAGAGCUGGUCAUUCGAAGUUCAGCUGAGAAUCCAAACAUAAUUCAAACUCAAACAUUUACCCUUACGUUUUGUCAAAGUUGAUUAAUCACUUAAAUUCAACUAUUCGAUUACAAUGCUCGACAAAUGGCUUAGAAUUGGUUUGACAUGCUCCAAACCUCUUGAAAUGACCCAAAUACUUACAUUCACAUUAUCUUAUGAUUACUCAAGAGUAAGCUUUGCUCUAAAGUCGGGAGGGAAAAAGAAUAUGAGAUUUUAAGAGAAAGGGAAGAGGAAAGGGGAGUGUUAGAAGUUAUAGUUAUUCACUUUGUAUGGAGGGUUUAUUUUUCUCAAUAAAACUAAAACUUCUAUAUAUAAAGGAACUCAAAAAACUUACUAAAGCUUAUCCCCCAAAGCUAUCCUUAACCCUAAUCUUUUCCCCCUAAUUUUUCCCUCCACUUUUCUAAGCCAUUGGAUCAUGAACAUUUAGGCGCCAUAGAACAUCAGCCGUUGAUCUAUCUACACUUAUUGCUCAUCCUAAUCAGCAUUCCAUUAUGUAUUCAUAUUUUCCCUCCCUCAAUCAACUCCUCCAUUUAAUUGUUUGGUUCCAGUGCAAAAAUAUUAUUCCAAUGCAAUUGAGCAUUUAAAUGCUCAUUCUCUUUACCAUGCAUAUAUUUAUUGUACUUCAUGUUGUUCCCUUUUUCUCUCAUCACUUGAUUUGAUCACUCUCUCCUUUCCUAAUCAUGUUCUUCUUCUCCUCUUUCCACGAAUUACUUCAUCUCCGCUUUCACUAUGCAGAUCAACCAUGUUCUUUUUUCCACACUCUUUUGUCUCCAUUGCCUCUCACCAUCGUCUCAACCCUUUCACUAUGUUGCGCUUUUAAUUUGUUUUAUUGAUGAUGCAGAGUUCUUUGAUCCAGAUCUGGGUCAUUUGAAGAUGUGAUACAACAUGUACUUGGUUAUGGUAUAUUAAGAGAAGGUAUUUGGUUAUGGUAAAUAUUUGGUAUUUGGUUGUGCAAUCAUGUUAUAAAUUUAUGGUUUGUUAACAGCUCCCUUUGCCUUUUUGCUCUCCUAUCAUUGCAUCACUGGUUUGUAUAUUCUUUCCUUAUCUCCCAUAGGUUUUUUCGAUUCAGCUAUAUAACCUGCUGUGUCGUUUUAUUUUUCUAACCAACUGUUUUAAUACUUUCUUUUGUAGCACCAUUGGUGCGUAAUCCAGUUACGGUAAUGGAUCGACUAAUCAAUAAGCAGCAUUAAACAAAAAAUGAUCCGGAAGAAGAAUGAUUGAUGCACGAAAGACUAAUUGUUUAUCGAUUUUGUGUUUUGUCAUUAGACAUAUCUUUUUUGAUUCAAGUAGCGUUUCACAAUGUAUCCGUCAGAACUAAUUGUUUUUGUUUAUUAAGUAAUAUUCAAACUUCAAUCCGAAGUAUUCUUUAUAUUUUUUCAUUACCGAAACAUAUGCCUUUAUCAUUUUUGGGGUUAGUACUUGCAUGUCGAUUACAAUCAUCGAAGUUGAACAGAACUUGAUUAUGCUAUAUAAUGGUUUAGCACAGUAAUCUUCAUAUGCGUUAAUUUUUACUUAUACACAUGCGUUUUUUUUUUUUAAUAAAAGGAAGGUAUGCAACUGCAUUCAAAAUCUAAUUAACAUUUUCAUACAUUUUUGAGUAAUAUUCAAAUUGUCAACGAUGAAGAGGAAGCUACCUUUGUUAAAUUGACAUUAAAAUUGAAUAAGUAUUGAUGCAAAACUAGAAAAGAUGUUAAAUGAAAAAAAUUGGCUAGAUGUAAAUUGAAAUCAAAAGAGAAUUACCAUUGCUACAAGAUUAAUUUCUCCAAAUGAACAAUUGUGUCAAGAACGAGUCAACUAUCCAUUUUCAUGGUAAUUAUCACACGAGUUUUAACAUUUUUAACUUAAAUGCUUUUUACUGUUGUUUUAAAACUAGAGUCAACCAUCCACCUUUAUAUUUUAUGUUUGAUAUGCUAUUUUAACAUGAACCAUUACUUUGGAAAUACCAACCUCAUGAUCCAACUUAUAUUGAACUCCUAUGGCUUAAGUGGCGUAGUCGAAUUUCAUCCUGAAGACUUUAUCAGUAGUUCUAUAUUCCACAUAAUCGAUUAGUUUUAAGCUAAAAUUUAUAUUUUAUCAACAAUUCUAUUUUACAAUUGGAGUCCCAAUCCAUUUCUUUUAUUUUACAAUUCUAAUUUUUAUUUUCUUUAUAGCUUCAUACUACAAAAUAAAUGUUGUCAUUAGAAAAACCCAUAAAAUUGUUUCAAACAAAAAACCAUAAAAUAAAUUUUGUCCUUAUAUGCUUUUUUUAAAAAGAAAAUAAAUUUAAGGCUGUCUUUUUUUUAAUAUAAAUGGAUUAAUAGGGUAAACAAUGAACCUGGAAAUCCAUAAGUUUUUGGGGUGCAACAUUUAGAGUGGUACAUUGUUAAGAAGAAAAUAAAUUUAAUGCUGCUUUUUCGCGAAAACUGAUUUUAUCUAUACUAUAAAAUAACUGUUGACAUUAUAUGCUUUUCCACGAAAACUUAUAUGAAUUUAUUUUUAAGAAGAAAGUUUAUUUACAUAGAAGUUAGAAGAAAGUUAUCCAUGAAGUAUAAUAAAAUAAAUGUUGUCGUUAGAUGCUUUUCCACGAAAACUUAUUUGAAUCUAUUUUUAAGAAGAAAGUUUAUUUACAUAGAAGCUAGAAAAAAGUUAUCCAUGAAUUAAUAUAUAUGACAUCAAUAUCAAGAAUAUUAUGGUAGAAUUUAGCAAUAACAAAUUUAACUCCAAAAAUUUAGAUAGCAUGAACAAAUUCACGGAUUAACCAUGAACACUCUUUACUUUUGUAGUAUGAAGUUAUAAAAAAAAAUAAAAAUAAAAAUAAAAAUAAAAAAUAAAAAAUUGAAUGUUUAAUAGGAUAUAGAAAAUUAUCAUUUUUUAAGAAAAGGAUAAUCAAUAUUAAUAAUGUGAGACAAUUGCAUUUUUUUUUUCUUAACAUGUUUUUUAAGUGUUUUAUGGUGUAUUAAUGCUACAAUCUAAUAUGUUAGCAGGAUGUAAUACAUUUAGGAAAAUGUUUGAUAAGGAGGUUGGAUAUGAUUUAGUAUACCGUUACAUCAAGAUGAUCAAUCAGACAUUAAAUUAGUAUGAGGUCGUGGUUGACCAAAAGCAUGGCAAGAUAUGUUUCACACAUGGUUUGAGUGAGUUGGACAAAGAAUAUACUCCCUCCCAUCACUAUUAUAAGUAAAAAACAAUUUUUAGCUUCAUUGAAUAAAUGAUAUAUUUGUCUAUAUUGUUAGUCAAAUACAUCAUUUAAUAAAUGAACCUAAAAGUUUGUUUUUGCUUAUAACAGUGAUAGGAGGGAGUAUUUAUACCGAGAUUAUCAGUUACACUAUCACUUUCAAAUUUCAAUCAAGACAAUUUCCGUUAAUUGUGUUAUUUGCAGGGGCGGAUCCAGACAUUUGAUAUUGGUGUGGCAAAAUAUUUAAAUCAACUAUAUUUAUUAACAAAGUAAAUAAUUGAUACCUUGAACAAUAUAGCGAAAUGGUAUAGAUGGAAGCAUUUUACCAUUGUGUUGCAGGUUCGAUUCCCUGCAACACCCUUUCAACUGCCACACCAUGUUUCAUAUUAGAUCCGCCCAUGGUCAUUUGUAAUGACUAUUAGCACGGGACAUAUAUCUAGUUUAUAAAUAAUUUGUCUUGCUUUUUUACGUUUAUAUGAUUAGUUUUUUUUUUUAGGGAAAGUUUGUAUGAUUAGUUAUUUCCAUCAUAAUAUUUAUUGAUAUAUACAAACAAACAAAAUUGUACAAUAAAUACGGAUAUUUUGGAGGAAAAAAAUUAUGUAGUAAAAAUUUGAAAUCGAACGUUAUAAAAAGCUACAUAAAUUUUUGGGUUAAAUAAGUUUUUUAUCCUCAAAAAAUUAAACAAACAUAUUUUAAGAUAGUGGUAGUACAUAUUUUCAACACAUUAUCUCCUGUUAAUUUAGAUUAAAAUCAGUCCCUCUAAAUUGGGAAGGUCCAAAACUUUUGACAAAAUCUAUGUACAGUAAAUUUUAAUCAAUUAAAUUAAAUAUAGUACAUUGAGUUGCAUAUCAUUUUUGUCUUCACAAUUUAAAAAUACAAAUUUAUGACCUAUUAACAACAAAAUACAGUACAAAACCCAUCCAGACAUAAACUUUCAAGAAUUAUGAAAUUAGUCAAAUAUUGGUUGCCGGCUAGAGUUUUGUAUAUAACCUAUCACAUUCUUCAACACAUAAAUUCAAUCUUAAACAGUAUAUAUGAAUCUCCUAUAUAAUACAAAAAGAACAAGUUAACCACCCAACAUAAACAAGAGACAACCUCGUCUGCUAGUUGCCUAUGUAAACCAUUAAAAAACAUCAAUAAAACAUCACAUCUUCCAAACCAAACAGCACACAAACAAUUAGAAAAUUCCCUCAUUUGUCACUACUAGGUAAUUAUCAAUCCUCUAUGCUUUAUUUUAUAAGUACAUGCUAGAAACUAUUGAACUCAAAAGUCUUUGGUUCUAUGAUCUAAUACCUAUCCUCCUCUUGUUUUUGGUCAAUGAUCCAACACUAUUAACCUCUUCAAACCCUUCAAAUUUUCUUCUUCAAUAUCUCAUAGUUUUUUUCUGUUUUUUCAUUACAAUGACUAUGGAACCAAAUCCAACAUCAGAUCACAUUCUUGAUUGGCUUGAAGGUUCUGUCUCUUUCUUUCCAUCAUUUUUGGAUGAUCCAUAUAACAAUGGUUACAUCCAUGAGUAUGAGAUAUGGAAUCAGAAUCAAGAUAUAAGUAACCAGUACCAAAUUGAUGCCAAUACUAAUUCUUCUAAUGCCACAAAUAGCACAACCAACAUUGUUGCUGCUAGUACUACCACAAGUACAACAUCCCUUGAGCCUAAUAGCUUUAAUAACAUACCCUUUUCAGAUUUGCCGAAGAAACGAAAUGCCGAAGAUGAACUAAGUCUCAAAAAACAACCUCAAAACCAAAAGAACAAGAGACUUAAGAGUCGUCCGAUGAAUGAAAGUGAUAAUGGAGAUGCAGCUCUUGAAGGGACAGUGGUUAGAAAAUCUGGUGGGAACAAGAAAGGUGCAGCUAAGGCCAAUGGAAGUAACAGUAACAAUGGAAACAAUAAGGAUGGUAGGUGGGCUGAGCAGUUGCUCAACCCUUGUGCUGUAGCCAUAACCGGUGGAAAUCUGAAUCGUGUGCAACAUCUCUUAUAUGUUCUCCAUGAGCUAGCCUCAACUACCGGUGAUGCCAACCACCGGCUUGCAGCACAUGGUCUUCGAGCAUUGACACACCAUUUAUCUUCAUCUUCGUCAUCUACCCCAUCAGGGACUAUUACUUUUGCAUCUACAGAACCGCGAUUCUUCCAAAAGUCAUUACUGAAGUUCUAUGAGUUUAGCCCUUGGUUUUCCUUUCCUAAUAACAUAGCAAAUGCUUCCAUUCUUCAAGUUCUAGCUGAAGAGCCGAACAAUUUGCGCACCCUUCACAUCCUUGACAUUGGAGUCUCUCAUGGUGUGCAAUGGCCAACUUUUCUAGAGGCCUUGAGUCGUCGACCUGGUGGACCUCCUCCUCUUGUUCGCCUUACUGUCGUUAAUGCCUCUUCAUCCACUGAAAAUGACCAAAACAUGGAGACCCCAUUUUCAAUAGGUCCAUGUGGUGAUACUUUCUCUUCUGGACUCCUUGGUUAUGCUCAGUCCUUAAAUGUCAAUCUGCAGAUAAAAAAGCUUGAUAAUCAUCCAUUGCAGACAUUGAAUGCUAAAAGUGUUGACACAUCCUCUGAUGAAACCCUUAUUGUCUGUGCUCAGUUCAGGUUGCAUCACUUGAAUCAUAACAAUCCUGAUGAAAGAAGUGAGUUUCUGAAGGUGUUGAGAGGCAUGGAGCCUAAAGGGGUGAUAUUAAGUGAGAACAACAUGGAGUGUUGCUGCAGUAGUUGUGGCGAUUUCGCCACUGGAUUCUCACGAAGAGUGGAGUACUUAUGGAGGUUUUUAGAUUCAACCAGUUCGGCAUUCAAAAACCGUGACAGUGAUGAAAGGAAAAUGAUGGAAGGCGAGGCUGCAAAAGCAUUGACAAACCAGCGUGAAAUGAACGAAAGGAGAGAAAAAUGGUGUGAAAGAAUGAAAGAAGCAGGGUUUGCAGGGGAAGUAUUUGGAGAGGAUGCAAUUGAUGGAGGUCGAGCUUUGUUAAGGAAGUAUGAUAAUAAUUGGGAGAUGAAAGUAGAAGAAAAUAGUACAAGUGUGGAACUAUGGUGGAAGAGCCAACCUGUUUCUUUCUGUUCUUUGUGGAAACUGGAUAAACAACCAGAGUAGUUCGAGCUCAACAUUGACAGCAAGGCUAUAAGCAAGGUACCUUGGUUUUGGAGUUCUGUAUAGAAGUAGCAGUUGCCACCAUGAUGAAGUUAUUUCACCACAAUGUAGUUCUUCCUUAUGCUAAACUUACAACUACAAGCAUAUUUGUAUGAUAUUGAGUUAAGAAUUAUUUAAUUUGAUGUAUGUUUUGUAAUGAUUGAUAGCUAUUCAGAAGGUAGUAUUGAUUCAAAAUUGAUAGCUAUUCAGAAUGUAGUAUUGAUUCAUAGUUAGGCACUUGUUGUUUUUCUGCUACAAAUCUGCAAAUUAGAUCAUCUAAGCUAACAAAUGUGGCAUUAAAAAUCAAAAGGUUCGGCCACUACUCUAUUUUGUUAACACAUCUAUUAAAUAUGUAUGCUUUGAAAGUUCCAUUACAGGUCAAGCAAUAAAACUCAUGUUCCCUUAACUGGUAUGUAGGACCGUCUGACAAAAAUAUAAAGCUGUAUUUCGAAAGUGGCAUUUACAAGCACACUUGUAUAAACAGAUAUAUCUUUAAACUGGGAGUAGAGUAAUACAGGUAACAAGGAACAUUUCAGGGUUCACUCUAUAGUUGUCUAGUGAAAUUAAAUGUGUACACUGCAACCGGGAAAAUCGGAAAUCUUUCAAUAUUACGCAAUAAGGAUGGAUCAUAGAUGUAUCUGUUACAAAGGUAAAUGCAAUAUGAAUCUCAGUCAACGCCUAAAUUGCUCAAUUUAGUUACAGAAUCAGAAUGUUUAAUUAACGUCAAACGCCACAAUAUUCAAGUGGUAUAUUUGUCAGUUUUGGAUUACACGUUCUCGUUCUUCACCUCUUCAAACAUGCACAUUCUUACUAGUUAAGCUUAGGCUUCUUCUAAUUCGCAUUCUUAUUGCAAAAUUCAUAUUUGAAACUAAGAAUGAGCUUCUCACUCUAAGGAAAAUUAAAGAACUUAAGGUAUUAAUGGGAACCAAACAUCCUUAACAAAUCAUGAGUUUACUAAAAUUCAUGAAUUAAUGCAACAGAUCAUGAGUAUACCUUCAUUGAUUUUGCUAAAAACAGUAGAAAUAUUCAACUUUUUCUCCCUAGAGUAUACUACCAAUUUUAGAGGAGCUUAAACUCCUCCGGAAAAAACCAGUACAGUGAGAAGCCGGCUAUGACUUACACUCGACUGCCCUAUUCAAGCCAUAUUCAAUUAUCUAUACUAGCUAAAUUCAUGUGUUCUCAUAAGAUACUAGGGCUACAUAUCUAUCCAAAUUAAAUGCAACAUUUGCUAUUAACAAACAUGGAAGCCUCCUGCCACAGUAAAGGAAAACUGGCCUCUGUCUACUCAAGAUUCGAAAAUUCGCACUGAAUCCCGGACCUCCUGACGACAAACUGGACACUUGGGUGCCACUUCACUUUCAACUGAAAUGGCACACCCUUGGCAACAUACAAGAUGCCCACAUGGAAUAAAAACAGAGCGCCUUCUCCUCAUCAGACAUAUGACGCAUAAUUGUCCAUCUGGAACAUCUUCAAUCUCAUCAUCUGUUGGAGGAACAGGUUCAAUGGGUUGUUGCCUUCGUUGCUGGAGCUGCCUUUGUUGCUUCCAUUGUUUCCAUUUAUUCCAGUUCCUUAGAAAAUGAAAAUUUGUCUUCAAAUCAAUUAUAACCGCUAAAAAUAAUACUAUCAUUUUAAAAAAUUUGAGCAAUUCUUCUGAUUAUUGACAAAUUAAUGCCAUCAAUGUGUUAGCCAAAUAAAAAAAAUUCAUUUACUCUAUUUGUUUCAUCAUGAUAAAGUUUAUCCAACCAAAGUCACAGGAAAUUCUAAAGUCAGCCAUGAUUAACGAAAUUCAAAACCAACAUACCUCACGACGGCAUAGCCGAUGAUCCCAACUGACAUUGAACCAAGAAGAAUACCACUCCAAAACAGUAAUUUAGUUUUGAAGGAAAGAUCUACAAUCAUCUGAUCUUUACUCAAGUCAGACCUACAAAAAACAUGAAUCAUUUUCUGGUAUUUUUUAGUUACAUGAGCACAAACAUGCAACUGGAAGGGAAUAAACAUCAAUAAUUCAGCACUAGUCUUCAUUAAUGCAUCACCAAAAAAUUAUUGAGUUGCCAAAUUAUACUUCACCAGAAGCAAUUUAUACUU
rnacentral:lncRNA from 1 species